rnacentral:lncRNA from 1 species
CUCGUAAGUGAUUGACGUCUCAUUCUUGUCAAACUUCUUCCUCGAUUGAGAGGAACCUUUUGUUUUCUAGCUCUUGUUUCUCUCGCUCUCUCGGAUCACAUCCUUGUUACUCCUGUUCCAUUCCAGGACUUCUAGUCACAAUCACAAACAGAGUUUCUUAAAAGGGCAAUCGAAUUAACUCGAGCUGUGACUUGCAGAUGCGGCAAGAGGAUCGCUGAUGCUGCGUUCCUGAGCACCGCCGGAGACUUCAGGUGAAACUCUCGCGAAUCUCUCCAUGCAUCCCUCACUGAAAAGGUGAUUUGCUCUCGCAGCGGUGCGAACUUUGCCGCCCCGGUUGGAGUGGCAACCUGUGACAAGUGCGCCCAAACCGGGGUUUGCACCUGCGGGAAGAACCGCGUGGAGGGCGUGGACACUUGCGACAAGUGCGCUCAAACCGGGGUUUGCACUUGCGGCAAGAACCGCACCGUGGGUACCGAUACCUGCGACAAGUGCGCACAGACGGGCGUGUGCACUUGCGGCAAGAACUAAGGAGAAGAUCGCUCAUGGAAUUGAAAGAUUACUAUGGCUAUAUGGAGGCGUGUGUUUGCUUGGCGUGUAGAUCCUCACGCCGGCGCUAAAGCACAGGUCUUCCUCUCCUAUGGUUGUAACACUUGAUAAUAACUUUGGUGGAAAAUUUGUAGCUGUUACAUGGAUGGGUGAUCGCUUGGCUUUGCUUGGAUUUUAAGUGAGUGUCCGGUUUGCUCGUUCUUGGAUAAAUGCGCUAUCAUGGAUCUUUGCUCACACUGGUUAUCACUUGAGCUUCGCUCACACUGACGUAAAAGCUUGACUUUUAAGAAAAAGAGUGAGCGUGCACGCUCGCCAUCAUCUAUGCUGUAGGUGGAGACGCAAGGUUAAAAAAUCUAGCGUUUCUUAUUAGAACUCUCCAGAAGGAAGAAAAAAUUGUUUUGAGAAUGUAACUUUCGUACAACCAGAAAACACCCAAACUUGAUUAGUACAAACAAAUCGCUUACCAGUAGAUGAGCUUGAUCUUGAACAGGACGAUGAAAGUGUCCCCAUCGAUCGAGUGCGUCGUGAUCGUGGCGAUGCCGCGAGCCAUCUCAAAGUCGCCCGUCCCGCCCACGACGCUGAUAUCCCGCGAUGGCGCCAAGAUUACGUCCGCGCCCAUGAAGUUGAUCGUCCCGUUGUACUCGCCCGUCUCGAUGAGCGCCGAGAAGAGGAGCAGAGCGUUGAACGCCACCCCGGCCUGGGUGUGGUCGUAAAUGUAGACGCCCUGACCCUUUCCCACGAUCUUGGAGCUCGCCAGCGACGGCCCAUCCGUGAGUGAAUCGUUGAAGACGAUGAUCUUGCCAAAGCCGAGGCCCGUGAGGUUGUGGUGUGGUCCGGCCACCUCCACCGCCGUGUCCGUCCAUGGAUGGGUCUUGUUCUGGAGCGUGUCGUGCAUGUAGAAGCUCACGGACGAUGGGCGCUUGGGCUCCUGCGAGGCCGAGCUCACCAUCACCACCACUGCCAAGACGAUGAAAGGAGCAGCAAAUGCCCGACGAGAAUUCGAUCUCUCCAUUUGAAGAUCACGAAAGAACACAAUUGGAGUAAAUUAAGAACAGAAGUAGAGAGAGUUGAAUCGAUCACGAAAGAACAGUAGAGAUAUAGUCCAAUCUUUCUUCCCCUUCUUCCGUUAUCUAUAGAUCCAGCAGGCUCAAGCUUCAGGAUUUUAAAUCCGGGGGUGAUAAUGUGCGUUGGGCGGCAACACAACAGCCCUGCUGUGCAAACAAAGUCAACAUGAUUGCCCUGACCCUCGCUGACCAAGUCAAUCAAGGUCCCGUGCCACGCCUGCCCUAGUCAACUUUCAUGGACUUGAUCAGCCUUCAGCUAUAUCCUGAAUAUGCGGCCUAGGCACCCCGCCACGUGGCGUUCAUUGGCGCGUCUUAUCGUCCUCUUGCGGUGGGCGCGCCAGCCUUCUCUCCUCUCCCUCCACUUUCUAUCUGGCCCUGGAGAGGAUUCCCGUGUGUGGUUCGCGGCAUCCCUCUCUCCAAGUAUUUAUCUAUACCCAUCUCCCAAGAGCCCUACAUUGCUCUUGGCUUUGCUCUCUCCCCCUCCCUAUCUCGAGCUCCCAAUCCUCUAAUCCACCAUGGUGACGGGGGCAGCAUCGUCCGCCGUGAUCCCAAUGGCCGCGCUCUCCACCCCGGUGGCUCCCAAGGUCCCCGGAUUCACAGGUCUCAAGGCCACCACGGCUCUCACUGCCAACAAGGGAGGACUCCAAUGGAGCCAGAAGACCGUCGCCAAUGGGAGCCGUGUGAGCUGCAUGCUGGUGAGUAGCCUCUCUCGCGCGCGAUCAAUCGCUCCACAUUCCCAAGCAAGAGAGAGAACUGAUCUCCUCCUCCUUGAUCCCCUCCCCAGACAUGGACGCCUUACAACAAUCCCAGGUUUGAGACGCUGUCGUACCUCCCGGAUCUCUCAGCCGACCAGAUCGCCAAGGAGAUCGACUACAUGUUGAGGAAGGGAUGGUUCCCCUGCCUGGAAUUCUCCGACGUAAGCUCCUCUCGCCAUCAAACUCCAUUGAUUUUUGGCAAGAACAAGCACUGAAAUCGCGAGGAUUCGGUCGAAUCUCUGUCUCUCUUUCUCUUUGCAGAAAGGAUACGUGUACCGCGAAUGCCACAAGAGCCCGGGAUGCUACGAUGGCCGCUACUGGACCAUGUACAAGCUCCCCAUGUUUGGCUGCCAAGAUUCCGCCCAGGUGUUGAGGGAGAUCCAGGAGUGCAGGAGGGAGUUCCCCACUAGCUACAUUCGAGUGCUGGGAUUCGACAGGGUCAGGCAAGUGCAAUGCGCGGGAUUCAUCGUCUACAAGCCAACCUAGAGCUCUAGAAGCUCCAGCUCCAGCUCCAGCGCGCGAGCCGAGCAAGCUUAAUGGAUCGAUCGACGUCGUCUUUGUGCACACACACAUGAAUCUCUCCCUCCUCCCCUCCACCUCUCUAAGAUAAUGUUUUUGUUUCUCCUCUCCCGGGAUGCAAGCAAUUACCACCACCCUGUGCAAGACGACGGGUUUCUCGAGCAUUAAGAAUCAUAUAUUUGAUGACAGUACUUCAUCUUUCUAUGCUUCUUUACGUGAGGUUUGAAAUUCGAGAGUGUUCCAGACGUGGAUGGAUUGGGCCUGAGUGGACGAAAGAGCAGGCAGGAAAUAAUAUAUAGUUUGGCCGCUGUUUCGUUGCUAAUCUGGGCUCUGGAUGAUUGAUAACGAUCGAGUGCUUUCUCUGGAAUGAAAACAACUCCGGCUACAGCGCUCGUUGAAUCGAUUCUUGCAAGAUAAUGUAAACGUUUAGAUCGUUGUCGAGCUCGUUACAUGGUUGACAAGCACGAGCUCUCAAAGGACGAUGUUUCUGGAGCUUCUGGCAAGCCAAAACCUGUAGUAGCAAAGGUUAGAUCUUUUUCCAAAAGGAAAAGAACGCUGUGGCUGUGGAGCCUGACAAGAAGGAAAAAAAGAAAAGAGACCUGGAGAGUCUUUCGGUGCGUCCAGCGGCUUUUAAACCACACCAUAGGCUCGACAAUCCGGCAAUGUACAUCGUCACUGGACCAUAUCCUUAGCAGGGAGUAAAUCCCAGACGACCGACCUGAAAGUGUUAGCGUUAGUACUCUUGUCUCCGAUGAACAAACAAAAUUCGGUCUACCGGUAAGCUUUGGUGGUACAAACAAGCUAGACAAACUCGCAGGGCUCUUGAGUCGAGAGUUAUCCUAGAGCAAAUGCUCGCAAGAAAUGAGAGAAAGAGAAAGAAAAGCUCGUACCUGUGUCAAAAAUGAUAUCAUCUCCUCGGACUGCUUCUUCUGGAGAUCCUGGAGCUCAUCUUCUCAUCCUUGAAACCGGCCCCGGACAUCGAUGCGUAUGCCGCAAGAGCCUCCUCCACAUGUCCGGCAUGAAGAAAUCCCUCCACGAUAAUGGCAUACGAGGCUCUGUUCGGACAGACUCCCUGAGCCGUGAGUCUGUGCAGCAAGUUAGCAGCAUCGUUCACCAUCCCGGCCUUGGCAUACGCGUCAAUCAUUGUGUUUAGAAGAUGGACGUCGGCUCGGCAUCCAUACGCUUCCAUCUGUGAGAAGUGCUUGCGUGACUCCUCGAGCAAGCCUUUGUGGAGAUGCGCGGAGAUUAGCGACGUGUAGGUGACGAUAUUCGGCCUGUGUCCUUCCAGCUGAAGCCUGUGGAAUAUCAGGAGAGCGUCCGCCACAAGACCAGCUUUGCCGUAGACACUGACGAGCAGGCUGUAGACGAAGAAAUCCGGCUGGCACUUGUUCACCACCAUCUCCUCGAACAUUUCGAUCGCUUCCUUGUGCAUGGAGCUCCGGCUAAACAUCUGUAUCAGCGUGGUGUAAGUCACGAUGUCCGGAAGAACACCCGCGGCUUUCAUGUUGCUGAAAACCUGUAGUCCCCUCUCCGGCUUCCUGGACAUGGCGUAUGCGGCGAUCAAGGCGUUGAACGAGAACAAAUCCGGCCGGAGCUCUUGCCGUAUCAUCUCGCGAAUCACUUCCUCCACCUUGUCAAUGCUUCCUUCCUUCGUGAACGCGCAGAUCACGACGUUGUAUGAUCGUAACGUGAGCGCCACCCCUCUAGACUUGAUCUCCAAGAAGAGCCUGUCGAUCGGAUAGCCAUUCUUUCCACUUCCACUUACAAGAAUGUCGUAAGUAACUUCGUCUGGAUCGAUGCCUUCCGCGAGCAUUUGGUGGUAAACAUCCCAGGCGUCCUUGGGCCUCUUUGCCUGGUAGUAUGCUGCUAUCAUCGCAUUGUAUGGACGUAGCUUAUCCCAGUCCUGGAGCUUGAUCCACUGGAAGAGCUCCUCGGCGUCCUCUAUCAAUCUAGCCCGGCUCAAAAUGCCCAGCACCAUGUUGCAAAGGUGUGCCUUUGGAACCAGCCUUCCUUUGCAUCUUUGCAUCCAGUAGAACACCUCGAGCAGCAGUGCGUGCUUGCCUUGAGCGUCCAGAUCCUUGAUAACGUUGGCGAGGUCCACUCUGGAAACUUUUCCCAGCCAUCCAUCGAGGAUGGUCGCCACUGGAAGCCCGCCCCCCUCUAGCUGAUCGUUGGCGAGGAGCUCGUUUAGAAUCUCCGUUUGCUUCUCUCGGCACUGUGCUUCCGUCCAUGGCGGAAGUGGAGGGUGUUUGCGAGGUCUGAUCGGACCAGUCCACUCCUUCUUCUUUCUUCUUUCGGGAGUUUUUUCUUCGAUCACCUGAGUGGAACCAUUUGAGCUCGUGGAAGCUAUCUCGGCCUCCACGGGAGCUUCCCCGAGCCUAGGCACUUCCAGGCCUUCCAGUGACGAUUCCAGUGCUACAAACGUGUUCUCCAGCGAAAUCUGGUCCUCGGUGACCAGCAAUUCGGCUCCUUUUCUAAAUGCCGGAGAGAAAAUCCUGAGCCUGCGAGAAUGUUGCUGCGAAGAGACGACUACAUCCACCCCUCCUCCUCCUCCUCCGGACUGCCAUUGGUAUGGCCAGCCAAACGCCAUUGCGCUCGCCAUCAAAAUCUCGCAAUGCCGCGAAUCAGCUUACCGCAGUGCCAGCGCGAUCCGAGACAAGAGGCCAUUCGCGAUGAGUUGUCGAGUCCUGGAAUUCGAGCCAAUGCGCGCCGGCAAAGAGCGACCGCGAGGAUCUAUUUGUGAACCCCUCAUUUUUUUGUGAUAAGACGAGCUAGGGUUUAUGGACGAAGAACCCUAAACAUGCGUUAAUACAACACUUCCACGUGGCUCAUAUGAUCUUCCCUAAAUAUCUGGAAGAUCUUCGCUAGGUUUCUCUCCGGUGUAAGCACUCUAGCUCGCUGAUCGAUCCCUCUGGCGGUGAAAAUUUGAGAUGGAUCUCGAUGAGAAGGCGCGCGCGAGGAUGUAUCACCUGGCGUGCCAUCUCGAGGACGGGUUGCGGCUCCAAUCGGGCCCUUUGAUCGUUAGAUCGGUGAGUGUUUAGGCUGAAUUGGAUGUGGAAAUUGGAAUUGGGAAUUUCUUCGCAGGAGUGUUCCUCCACCCCCGCAUUUUCGGGAAAUCGUCGCGAUAGCAUGCUCAUGUUUGCGAGGCAAGGGGCCGAAGCAAGAGGACAAUUCAUGCGACCUGCCGAGUUAAAACAGGCACGUAGAAAAAAAUGCGAUGUUCUUCCUUUGUUUCCAUUUCCGUUCUAUGAUUCCGUGAAUUUCUUUCUUCAGGUGAUACCGGAUGGCGAGAGCCGAGCGAGUCUUUCCAAGAACACUAGCAAAAUCAGUGGCGACUGUGCCAAAAAAGAAGACGAGGAGUUCUCCAACAGCAAAGUAGUGAAGUCUCGUGAAGAUGAAACUCCACUCUUUGCGAGGCCGGCGUCCAAGCAUGCGGCACAAAUCAAGAGCUCUCGUCCUGUUACCGAGGCUUCAGGUACUUCCAUCUGGUUCUUCUCGAUCCAUAAGUUGCAAUGGUCUCUUCCUCCUUUUUUGCACGAAGAAGAAAAACGCGAGACUUCCAUCCGAGGCUUUGAGUGGUCUCCUCGCAUGGAUGUCACGGAGUCUGACUCCGAGCACAUUGUGACGGUGGAGCUACCAGGUGUAAACGCCGAAGGAAUUCGAGUGGAGAUCGACCGUGGAAGGUGAUGCUCUUCUCUAAGUUUCUUCUUUCUCAUUUCAUCGUUUUUCCAAACGCUGGAUGGACAGGCUUGUAGUGACUGGAUUUCGCUCCAGGGAGUGGUGGUCGAGCUCCCAGUCUUUCACUCAGAGUUCCGAGAGCGACUGCAGGGUUUAUCACCGGCGAGAUAUUUCCUACGGCCCCUACCGCUCGGUGUGGAGUGUGCCCAAGAAUGCCAACUUGAAUGGAGCCACUGCCGAGUUUAUGUAAGAAAGUUUUGGCUCAAUUCCUCUCUGAUCUAAAUGCUCUCUCGUGUGCUUUGCAGCGACGGGUUUUUGCGUGUGAUCAUUCCGAAGUCUUAAGAGCUUGAGCUCAAGGUUGCUCGCUAUAGCUAAGUAUCUGUAAAUUUGGAGCUAGCUAUGCAUAUAAAUAAAUAAAUAAAUAAAUAAUUAGUGCACUUUGAAUGUUUAAAUGAUUAAAUCUUAAGUAUAUUCUACAUACUAUAUUAUUAAUCAUUCGACAAAUAAGUUAAUAACCUUUACAUAAUUCAUUCUAGAGUUUCUAAUGAAAUACGAAGUGGCAUUCAUGGACAAAGCUUGUCGAUUUUGAUUUUCAGUUCAUGCUUUCUACGAAUCACACAUCGUUGUUAGUUGAAAGUUGGGUUUGUAGUUUGUAACAUCUAUGUUCAAACCAUGAUCACGAUUGGCAUAUGAUUGGCGUGAUUUUGUAAGCUUUGGCCCUUGCAGGGAUCGACAAGCCGUUUAUCUUAAUCGAUCAACCUCAACUUCAGCCGAGUGGAAAAAUUAGAGAGUGGGUGUCGAAUUGUCACGAGAUUCUCGACUAAGAUAUCUAGCACAAGUAGAUUCUGUCCGCUAAGUCCAUUGGAUCCGUAGAUUCCCUCGCGCAUGAUUGGUACGGGAAGUCAAAUGAUACAGUCCUGUUUAGUCUUAACCUCGCGGCUAAUAACGACCGUGCCACGCAAGCUCCACGCACGUGCCACAUCAGCGUCCAGCUAAGCUUUCAUGGCAUUGUCUACUUAAUUUGCGACAAAGCAGCGCUUGAAACGGGCUGGAAGGCUUUCCCCGUGAUCUCGUACUUGCGCGCCACACAUGAAUCCGGCGCUUGGCGCGCUCGAGAAGCUCACGAUCUUGUGAUCGAUCAAUAGUGUCGAUCCUCCAAAGAGGGGAAUUUGUGAUCCUGGAGCUCCGGCGAUUGGAAUGUAUCGCCCAUGGACGAGGACGAACCGAGGCUCGAGCGGGAGGGGUACGAGGGCAAUGGGAGCAAUCGAUCGCGAGUGUCGCGAUACAUCAGGGAAUGGCAAGCCAGCAGCUCGGCGCUUAAAGCCCUAAGGCUCCAUGUCAUUCUUCCCGAGUCGCGGUAAGAGCGUUUUCUUGGAAAUAUUUCUUCCACUCCCGAUCGAUCGACACCGAUCGGUGGAAGGAUCACUCACUGAGUGGGCGCGACUCGCAGAUGGCAUCACUGGUGGACGACCUUCAUCCUGGUGUCGGCGGCGUAUUCCUCCUUCUUCACGCCCAUGGAAUUCGGCUUCUUUCGCGGCCUGCCCUGGCGCGUCGGGGUCUUCGACAUGGUCGUCCAGGUGAUCUUCCUGGCCGACAUUGUCAUCAAUUUCUUCGUGGCCUACAAGGAUUCCCACACCUACAAGACGAUCACGGACCACAAGAAGAUCGCUUUGAGGUAAAAAGAUAUUUCCUUCCAGUGUUCUUGGAUGGUGAAUUGCUUGGCAGGUAUGGAAAGACGGAUCUCAUCCCAGAUUUCUUGGCGUGCCUGCCCUGGGAUGCACUGUACAAGGUAACCAAUGGCUCACUCCACACACCACACCAGGAAUUUCUUCGCGAAGAUCACUCAAAACUUUUUUCUUUGUUUUCUCGUUUUUUUCUUCGUUUUUUUCUCAGGCUUGUGGAAGACACGAGGAGAUCCGAUACAUGCUGUGGAUCCGGCUGUAUAGAGUUCGCAAAGUGGAGCGUUUCUUCAAGAGGCUGGAGAAGGACAUUCGCGUCCACUACUUUGUGGCGAGGAUUGCGAAACUGCUAACGGUGGAGCUCUACUGCACGCACACGGCUGCUUGCAUCUUCUACUACCUUGCAACAACCAUGGCGCACUCGCAGGAAUCCUACACCUGGAUCGGCAGCCUCACGCUUGGCGAUUUUUCCUACCACAACUUCCACGAGAUUGAUCUUUUGAAGCGUUACGUGACCGCGCUCUACUGGGCGAUUCUCACCAUGGCGACUGUUGGUACGUGGAUUCUUUUCCUUGAUCGUCGCAAAGUUUCGUGAUUAAUUAUUCGUUGUUUCGCAAGGCUAUGGAGAUAUUCAUGCCGUGAACGUCAGGGAGAUGGUUUUCGUUAUGAUCUUUGUUUCGUUUGACAUGAUCCUGGGAGCAUAUCUUAUUGGAAACAUGACGGGAUUGAUAGUGAGAGGGUCGAGCACCGAGAAGUUUCGGGACCGGAUGGCGGGGAUUAUCAAGUUUAUGAACAUGCACAGCCUUCCAAGGGACCUGAGGCAGCAAAUGAAAGCUCACGUCCGGCUCGAGUUUGAAGGGCAGCUUGCAGAACGGACAGUGAUGAAGGAAUUCCCUGCUUCUAUUCGUGCCAAGGUAGUCAAAACAAAACCAACUUGUUUGAUACUAAAAAGAAUCUGUGAGCUUCCAGGUCUCUCAGGCCCUGUACCUUGAUACGGUUGCGGAUGUUCCACUUUUUAAAAGCUGCUCAAACGAGUUUAUCAACCAGAUUGUAAGUUUGUUUCGCUUCUGACUCUUGGAUUCUGAUAGGAUUUUGUUCGUUCACCACUGACGCAGGUGAGCAACGUACACAAGGAAUACUUUUUGCCAGGAGAAAUAAUAAUGGAGCAAGGGAGUGCUGCAGAUAGGCUCUACAUUGUGUCGCAUGGACUGCUGGCAAGUGGUUUUGGAUUUCUGGCCUGUGCUUUUUGACUAAACAAGUUUUUCUCGUUUUAAAAACUUCCUUCUCAGGAAGUUGUUUCUGUUGCAGAAGAUGCCUCUGAGGAAGUCUUUACAGUCGAGGACCAUAACAUUUUCGGGGAAGUUGCUGUGCUUUGCAACAUCCCUCAGCCGUAUACUGUCCGUGUGUCGGAGCUGAGCGCGCUACUAAGGCUGGACAAGCAUGUGCUUACAAACAUAAUGCAAAUCUAUGCCGUCGACAGUCGCCAAGUUCUCAACAAUCUGCUCAAGGUACGAAAACCCCAAGCAUGUUCCUCAGGUGUUUUCCUUUAUCUGUUUCUUAGCAACAAACGGGAGACUUUCGAAUAAGUCAGCUCACUGACGAGAUUCAAUCGCAACUGGGGCACCAGCAGUCAGAGCUGACGUUGAGAAUGAACAACGCUGCUUUUCAAGGCGACUUGUAUUAUCUGCGCAGCCUGAUACGAACGGGAGCAGAUCCUGUGAAGUCCGACUACAUUGGGAAAACGCCUCUCGUAAGAAAUCAUUUACGCUGAUUCUUUGUUGUGUGCUCAUCAGGAUCAAGUUUUGCAGCACCUUGCAGCUUCUAAAGGCUACGACGACAUCGUCUCGUUGCUGUUGAGAGAAGGAGCAGACGUAAACGCUCUUGGUAUUUUUCUUCUCAGUCCAGCGUACUUCCAAUCUAAACCAUCAUUUGGGUGCGCAGAUAAUAUAGGCAACAGCCCGUUGCUCGAAGCCAUCAAAGGUGGACACGACUACACAGCAAGCAUCCUUGUGGAGAGGGGAGCCAGGCUCAACUUAACUUACCCCGGAAACAUGCUCAUCCGCGCGGUGGUAAAGAACAACUUAGAACUCCUCAAGCGUCUAAUAAACCAUGGAGUGGAUCCAAAUGCGGCAGAUUAUUACUCAAGGACCGCAUUGCAUGUCGCUGCGGCCGAAGGCUUGAAUUCGUUUGUCAAGUUCCUUAUCAAUGCUGGGGCCAACAUCUUCUACAAGGACAGGUACUUUCGAACGUCCGCUCUUCUGGCAGGCAAUCGAUCACUCACGCUUCUACUGACAGAUGGGGCCGUACUCCUUACGAUGAAGCCAAGCGCUGUGGAAGCGUGCUCGUCAUCUCUGCUUUCGAGGCAGCGGCUGAGCAGCAAACAAAGACAAGAACUGCGCCGUCACAGUGCAGUCCAAACAUUGUGGAAGUUUCUGAGAGCCAGCAAGAGUCCCCGCGAUCCAGCCUGAGGCAUAGGAACUUGAGCUCGAGAGAAGUGGCGCUCCUCUCGUCGUCUUCGAGAAAUCUCCUCCGGACAAAGAACCAGCAGCAGCAGCAGGAUCUCCUCAGCCAGUCGUCACCGGAUCAUUUGGAGCUGGAAGUGCACAGCUCCCAGCCCAUCGAGACUUCCACCGUCUUUCUUCACGAUCAUCCAUCGACAAGCUCUUCACACCUCUAGAGAAGAGAGCUUGAAGAAGGUAUAUAGUGUACCAUUUGUACCAUGUAUCCAUUAUUUAUUAACAAGAAGUGAUCGAUCAAUUUUUACAGAGAGAAGUUCUCACCAUCUUCCAGGGAAUAGACGCCGGUAAGCAUCACAUAAGGAGCAGCGUUCUCGGGGUCACACUCCAGUGCUCGUCUAGCAAUGCGUUCUCCACGAUCACUCUCGCCAUUUAAGUUGCAAGCUCCAACUAGCGAUCUGGACAUCGCCAUCUCCACUGCGGGCAUGGAAGCAGCGAAUUCUUCCGCCUCGCGGAGCCUCCCGGAUCGACCAAGGAGCUCGAUCAUGCAGCAAAAGUGCUGGUGACUGGGGACGAGGUGGUGGUCUUGGAUCAUCGAGAGGAAGUACCAGCGGCCAAUCUCGACGAGGCCGAUGUGAUUGCAAGCGGCGAGGAGGGUGAGAAAGGUGACGGAGUUUGGGGCGAUUCCCUCCAUCGCCAUGAAGCUAAAGAGCUCGAGCGUGGUCUUGGCCUGCCCGUUUUGGGCAUAUGCUUGGAUGAGAGCGUUCCACUCCACAAGAGACUUUUCCGGAAGCAUAGAGAAGAUUCUUCUGGCCAUGCAAAGAUCGCCAUUGUGAGCAUAAGCGAGGAAAAGAAUUGUCCAAGCCACAGCGUUGUGUAGCGGCAUCUUGUGAAAUAGCUGGAGCAACAAAGCAAAAUUGCCUACUUGGGCAUUUGCUGCUAAGAUUGUAGUCCAAGAUGCUGUGUCUUUUUCCAACAGACUAAAAAACAUCUCUCGAACUCUUCCAAAAUCUUGGCUUUGUAAGCAAGCAUCCAUCAUCGCGUUGCAUGACACGGAAUCCCGCCGCGGCAUUCGGUCAAACAUGUCUUUCGCAAGCUCAAAAUUCCCUUCUUGGGCAAGUGCUGCAAGAACAGUCGUCCACGACACAACAUUACGAUUGCCCAUGAUAUCAAACAUCUCUUUGGCUUUUCCCAAACAGCCGCUUCGAGCGUAAGCUUGUAUCAUCGCAUUCCAUGCGACUCGAUCCUUCUCAGGCAUCCUACCAAAAAUCUCCCUCGAUUUCUGUAAAUCCCCUCUUUGGGCAUACACUGCAAGCAUGUUUGUCCAGGAGAAAAGAUUCGGCUCCUGGAUCCCAUCAAACACAGCUCUGGAUUCCUCCACGCUGCCGCACUUGCCAUACAUUUCAACCAGGAGAUUCGCAAGAAAUCGCUCGUGGAUGAGCCCACUCUCGAGGAUUUGCGCGUGGACGCAUUUGCCCUGCAAGAGAUCCCUGGCAUUACGGCACUUCCUCACGAGCUGGGCAAACAAAUAAAGCUCAUGUCUCAUAGAUUAGGGUUUAUGGAGGAAAGAGGAGCUAUCCCAGACAGAGAAGAUGCCCUGUGGCAGAGGCUUCGCUGUUAGUCUCCCAUCGUCAUCGUCUUCACUGCUCGCGCAAACGCUGCCAGAUUCUCGUGGGAGUUCCCGCCUGGAUUGGCAGUAGCGCGGGCCACAUUCUUGAGAUCUUUCGCUCUCGCCCAUAUCUCCUCCUUGUCCAUUCCACUCAUGAAUUCAGUGAUCCGCUGCUCCACGACACCCCGGGUCACCGUGCCGCCGUCGCCUCGCCGCCACAGUCUCUUCCCCACUCGCCAGUCCUCUUCCACCAGCUUGGCGUUGGUCCUUUGCUCCGAGUGGCACGGCCAUCCCAGCAGUGGCACGCCAUAGCAGAUGCUCUCCAGCGUCGAGUUCCAGCCGCAGUGCGAGAGAAAUCCUCCGAUGGAGGAGUGCGCUAGCACUCGGACUUGCGGCGCCCACGACACGACCAUUCCUUGCUCGCGCGUCCUCUCCAGAAACCCCGCGUAGAACUCGUCGUGAGUGGCGCUCCUCUUCACCAGAUCCUCGCGAUUCACCCAGAGAAACGCCUGCUCGCUAGCCUCCAGCCCCGCGGCGAUCUCCUGGAACGUAUCCUCCGAGAGAACGCUGAUGCUCCCGAACGAGACGUAGAGCACGGAGCUCUCGGCGCGCGUGUCGAGCCACUUGAGGCAGCCAUCCUCCUCGUCUCGGAGGCUCACUCCCUUGAGCGCUGCUGGCGAUUCGUGGUGGGAGACUGGGAAGAGUGGCCCGAUCGCCGCGAACUUGCUGGCUGGCAGCGCCGCUUGCAUCGCGUGGAACGUCUCGGGCUCCAGCUCCGCCAUGCUGUUGACGAGGAUCCACUCGCAGUGCUUCAUGCGAUCCUGGUCGUAGUCGAAGAGAAGCCGGCGACUGGGGGUCCCGAGCUUUCGCUUGAAGUACUCCGGAAGAUCACCGUACUCCAGACCGGGAACUCCAGGGAUGUACGUGAUGAUCCUGUCCUCCUCCCUCUCUCCUGCAUGGAUUUCACAAACUUGGUUGACUACUACUGACAAGAACUUUGGCUUGCCUUGGCAGAAGAGAUCGCCGUGGGCCUCGAGCAGCUUCAUAUGGUGGUGGAGUGAGCUCCAUGCUGCGUUUCCAGGCCAGUAGAUUGCGCAACCGGUGCCUAACGUCCUGGCCAGCUCGAGGGGCCAGCCAAGGAAGAAGUCGGCAAUGAUGCAACAAGGAGUUGGCGUGAGCUCACGUACGAGCUCCUCCACCGGAGCUUUGAGGCUGUCAACUGCGUCGAAGAGAGCUUCCGGGUUCUCGAGGCACGACGCGUCCACCCCGGCCGGGAGCUUGAGGCCGCACUCGACUUGCUCCAGCCGGAUGUCCGAUCCCGGUGGGCAGCUCCAUUGCUUGAGGAGCAUCUUGUGGACGCUGUCCACGUUAACCAGCGUGACGAUGAUCUCGUUGGCAGCUAGCUUUCGGGCGAGAUGGAUCAUCGGUGGAAUGUGACCCUGAGCCGGGUAUGGGACGAGAACAACGUGUGCGGUUUGAUCUUGUGGUGUAGCACCCAUGGCUGGAAGAAGAGUUCGUCAAACUCUGGGAGGGGAAGAAGCUUGCGUACCUUUGGCGCUGGAUGUUUAGAACUUUAGCUACGACUGUGAUUCAUGCUGCAAUCCCACACAAGAGGUAAGCCUCAAGCUUCUCUGUGGUGACCGUGCAAACAAGCUGGCUGCUAGUUUGCAACAAAGCACCAUCACAUAUCAAUGGCAGGAAAUUUUGAGGGGACCACAGCAACUAGGAAAUUUUGUUUCGACGUGACUAACUGGCUGAAAUGGAUUUCCUGGUUCUCUGGAUUGGGUACAAGUCUGGUAAUGACGAGGUUAAUAAACUGAAAUGCUGAUUUGGGAGUGUGGCUAACAUGUUGCCACUUGGAAGUGCAGAGUUAUCUCGUAAAGGUGGAGGUGGAGCUCCAGCUCCAGCCUCGAAGCUCGUGUGGCUAUGGCUGCCACCGCUUGCAGUAGAUUGACGUACUUUGCUAGUCCGCACGAGGCUACGCAGCUCAUCAGGCCGUGCCGCUGCACGCUACUCAGAUUCAAGCUGCGGCAUUCGAAGGGCUUUGGUUUGCCAGAAAGAAAGGAGGCGAGGAGCAUACAAUCGCUGCGUGCGAGCGUAGCGGACGGGCCAUCCACUUCCACUUCCACUUCCACAUGUAAGUCUAGAACUUCGCGAGGAAAUUUUGGUCCAUCAUACAGCUGAUGCCAGUGCGUGCGUGCGAUGGAAGACACGUACAGUGGUGACACAGGAUAUAAUCUUUUCUUGGAAGGGCCAAGCUUCCGAGGUGCUGCUCACCGGCGACUUCCUCGAGUGGCAAAAGCAAGUCCCUCUUGAGAAGAGCCCGGAUGGUACAUUUCAGAUCAAGCAAGUAAGUUCUACUUCGAAGUUCUUGCAAUUAGACUGUCAUGGGUGUUGUUUCCAGAAGCUAGCUCCGGGAUCAUACAAGUACAAGUUCAUCGUGGAUGGCCAGUGGAUGCACUCGCCGGACUCUCCGACGGCAUCCGAUGGUACCGGUGGCUUCAACAACGAGCUCAUCGUAGCGGAGUCUGCCGCAGGUUUGAUACAAGUUCUUCCAUGUCUCGUGCUAGUUCAUCCGUUUUUAUUCGUGUGCUCGCAAAACACAGGCAAGGAAGCUCCUCCUCCUCCUCCGGCAAAGGAAAAGCCGGAAAAGCCCGCAACAAAGCCAAAGCCAAAGAAGCCCGCAGCCAAGACUUAUCCAGCUCUCAUGGUAGAAGACGUCGCUCCGCGUCUCCAAGCAAAACUGGCGAAGGAAGAGAACCUUGCUGACGUAGAAGUUUGCUUCGAGAACGACCAGGUUCGUCUCCACUCGACAUCGCGAUAUCUUUGCCAAUCACCACUUUGCAAUUGCAGUUAAGGGGCUCUUUCUCGAAGCUCGGCGUUCCAUACACAUUCUGGGCCUACUUCCCAGACGCGAGCUUGGAAGGUACGUGCAUGGAUUUUGCCAUUUUGCACUCAAAAUCGACACUCAAAGCUUUUGGAACAAAAAGGUGCUAGAGGAUUUUCGGUGUCUGCCUAUGGAUCACCUCCCAGCACCGUGGAGCCAUUCUUGAUCGACGAGAAGAAACUCACGGCGGAUUUGAUCGUGUAUUGGGUGCACAAGCGCCUUUUUGCGCAAAACCUCUUGGAGUUAAACUAGCAAAUUAAAAUUUUAUGUGUAACACUAUAAUGGUUAAAGUUAAUUAACCACGUUACUAAAACAAACCGAACAGCCACGUGGCUUUGGCUACGUGGCGUCGUUCUUAUGGCUGCCACAUGGGCGGCUCUUGCCAUGCCAAGUGGCGCCAGCUAUGGCGGACACAUUGACCGCGUCAGCGAAUCUCUUGAGGUUUUCGUGAGAGGUUCCCCCUUGGUCGGUCGUGGAGCGUACCGUGCUCCUGAGCGCCGCCAUUCUGGCCCGGAUCUCGCCCAUGCCCUGCCCUUCCAAGAAAUCCCGGAUUACCUCCUCCACUCGCCCGCGCGCCACGUCCUGAUCAUCCGAGAGCCGCCGCCCGAUCUUCCAGUCCUCCACGAGCUUGCAAUUCAUGCUCUGCUCGGUGUGGCACGGCCAGCCCAGCAGUGGCACGCCAUAGAAGAUGCUCUCCAGGACCGAGUUCCAGCCGCAGUGGGAGAGGAAUCCGGCGAUGGAGUGGUGUGCCAGGACCUGGAGCUGCGGCGCCCAAGAGACCACCAUCCCCCUCGGCCUCGAUCGCUCGGCGAAGCCCCGGAGAGCUUCGCUGCUGGCGAACUCGUGCCGGACGUCCGCCCAGAGGAAUGGCUGCUUGCUCGCCUCCAGCCCGGCCGCGAGCUCCACGAUCUGGCGCUCGGGAAACAGGCACAAGCUCCCGAACGAGAUGUAGAGCACAGAGGUUGUGGCCUGGGUGUGGAGCCAUUCCAGGCACUCGCUCUUCUCGUCGCGGAGGCUCACCCGCGGGCUGGUGUGGCAUGGGAAGAGCGGACCCACAGACACGAAGUUCUUGUUGGCCAGAGCUCCCUGCAUCGCGUCGAAGGCGUGGGUCUCCAGCUCCGAGAUGGAGUUCACCAGGAUCCAGUCGGCGUCCUUCAUGCGGUCUGCCGAGACACUGAAAAAUUCGAGGAUGAAUCCUACCAGCUUCCUCCGGAAGUAGCUCGGGAGGUGGCGGCACCUGAAAGCGUCGAGACCUGGGACGUAGCGAAUGAGCUUGUUCUCGUCGAGGCCUAGAUUGCUCGAUCAAAAUCAUGCAAGAAAAAAGAAUUCUGACCUUGGAACGCGUCACCGCUGGAGACGAGCAAUUGAGUGUGGUGGUGGAUGGAGCUCCAGGCAGCAUUUCCAGGCCAAAACGUGACGACUUUGAGGCCAAGUUUCUUUGUGAUUCCCACCGCCCAACGCAUGAAAUAGUCGGAGAUGAUGCAGCAUGGAGGUGGUUGCAUCUCCCUCACUAGCUCCUCUACUGGGAUUUGCAACCUUUCCAAAGACUCGAGUAGCCCGUCCGUGUCUUUCAAUGCUUUGGCAUCGAUGCCACAAGGAAUGAAGACAUCACAAUGCACUUGCUCCAGUCUGAUAUCCAUCCCAUCCGGGCACCUCCACUGCCGGGAGAGGUUUUCAUGGAUGCUGUCCACGUUGAGCAGUGUGACGAUGAUCCCUGUUGUAGCCAGUUUUGUUGCAAGAUGGAUCAAGGGAAGAAGAUGGCCCAGUGCAGGAUAUGGAAGCACCACCAUAUGAACUUCAUUCCUACUAUCCACCGACAUAGCAAAGAGCUAGUGGAUUAAACACGAACCACCCCAAGAUCUAGCUUUCUUUUUUAUUCUAAAUUUCUCUGUUUCUGUUAUUGCAUUUUCUUCUUUUAUAGUGAACUUUUAUGAAAUGUCGGUUUUCAUCCUUGCUAUAUCAUUAGUGUAUCCAAAACUUCCUUUCAACCAAUGCCAUUCUUCUGACCCCUGCAAAGUUGCCAUUCCUAUGCCAAAACCUUUUCACAACCCCAAAAGGCAAAAGGUCCACUUUGCCAAUUUCCUUGUUGCCACCUUCGUCCCACGGUCACCACUGUGAAUGCUAAUAACAAUUUGUACCUCCAGAGAUGAAGCUCUAGUUACCCAGCUGGCUCGGUCGAUCCGUGAUGCUAGAACUCUGGCACAGGGACAAUGGAUCCACAAGCUCGUCGACCAGAGUGUGCAGAGCCACAAUCGCUACCUGAGAAACCUGCUGGUGGAGAUGUAUGGCAAGUGCCAUGACUUGGAACUGGCAGUGGCAGUGUUUGAGUCCAUCCGUGAGCCCAACGUUUUCUCCUGGAACAUCCUGCUCGAGGUGUAUGCCCGAAACGGGCAUAUUGAGGAUGCUCGGGGCGUGUUUGAUCGGAUGCCACAGCGCACGGAGGUGUCGUGGACGUCGAUGAUUGCGGCCUACGCGAGGUUGGAGAUGAUCCAGGAGGCGGAGUCGCUGCUGGCUCGGAUGCCAUACAAGGCGGUGAUUGCCGGGACCGUGAUCGUGGAAGCGCUCGCGAAAUCCGGGCAUUUGGAGGCGAGCCGGCGGAUGUUUGAUCGGAUGCCACAGCGGGAUGUCGUGACCUGGAACACGAUGUUAGAGGCUUACGCGCGGAUUGGAGAUCUGGAUCGAGCGAGCUUACUGUUUGACGCGAUGCCGGAGAAGGAUCAGGUGUCCUGGAACAUCUUGGCGCAGGCGUAUGCCGAGGAGGGAAAUCUGGCGAUAGUGAGAGAUCUCUUCAAGAGAAUGCCGAGGAGAGAUGUGGUUUCAUGGACCGCGAUGCUCGUCGCGCACGCCAGCAGCUGGGAGAUCGACGAGGCGAUGUUCUUGUUCGAGAUUAUGCCCGGGAAGGAUGCGAUCGCCUGGAAUAUCAUGAUCGCCGCCACUGCCAGAUCGGGAAAUCUCCACACUGCCAAGAACCUCUUCGACAGCUCUCCAACGCGGGACCUGGUUUCUUGGAACACGGCGAUCGAGGCCUUUGCCGAGCAUGGCCAGCUCCAAGAAGCGAAAUCCCUGUUCGACGCCAUGCCCUGCCGCGAUCUCUUCUCCUGGAACGCAAUGCUCCAAGCGUACCUUCGAUCCGACCGGCUGGAGGAGGGAAUGCGCUUCUUCGAUCGGAUCCCGGAGCUGGACGUCGUGGCGUGGAACAGCGCGAUGCAAGCGCACGCCGAGCGAGGCCUGGUGGACGAAACCCUGCGAUUGUUCCACGCAAUGCCGGCGUGGAGCGUCGUCUCCUGGACGAUCCUCGUCUCGGCGCUAGGGCGUGGCGGGCAUUUAAAAGAGGCCAGGGAAGUAUUUGACGGGGCCAGGGAUCGAAACGUGAUCACCUGGAACGCCAUGCUUGCGUGCUAUGGCGGGAAAAGGGGCAAUUUAGACAGAGCGCGCGAAAUAUUCGAUUCCAUGGGCGAGAGAAAUGGAAUGUCGUGGGCUUUGAUGAUAGAAGCGUGUCUUAUAAACAAUAGCGUGGAGGAAGCGCAAACACUUCUCAAAACCUCGCCAUCAGAGAAACCACUGGCCUGGAACUUUGUUCUGGCAGCAAAUGCCCAAAAUGGGCAGCUUGAGGAGACUUUACAGACAUUCCACGCGAUCCCUGUCAAGGACGUAGUAUCCUGGACCGCCAUAGCUGCAGCAUUUUCGCAGUUUGGGCACCUUGAUCGAUCACGCAAGAUCUUUGAGACAAUGCCGGAGAGGAACACUGUUUCCUGGAACGCGAUGCUUCAUGGCUAUGCCAAGAACGCCCAUGCCGUAGAGACCUUGGAUCUUUACAAGAGGAUGGCGUGUGAAGGAGUUGAACCCGAUACCACCACUCUCAUCGCCACCUUGAUCGCCUGUAACCACAUUGGCUUGCUCGCUCUGGCAAUCCACCACUUCUCCUCCAUGAGCUUCGAUCACUCCAUUGCUGAGACAAUUGAUCACUACUGCUGUAUGAUCGACAUCCUUGGCCGGGCCGGCAAGAUACCAGAGGCCCAAGAGCUGCUCCACACGAUGCCAUUCCAAGCCAACCACGUUGCAUACACUGCUCUUUUAAAUUCCUCCAGAAAUGCUCCUCUAGCUUCUUCAGUGAGGUCGUUCCCUGUGGAUACCAUGUAUGUUCUACUGUCCAACUUAGCAGCUCAAAAUGCUACUUUUCACAAUUAACUAUUGAUAAUAGGACAACUAUUGUUAUUUACCCCAUUCAGCUAAGAGAAUACCUUGAAGGGAUGCCUUCUCUGAAGGCAUCCUUAUUUCUGGCCUAUAAGGACCCUUAAUUUUGCUUGUAAAAGGAGGUUGGACAGCUUAGUUCUGUUUCUGGUUAUAGGUAGGUUCUGGCCUGGUUUGAAAAAACUAACUUCUCUCAAUAGCCAGAAUAGCCGUGAAGCAUAGCGUUCCAGGAAACAGUGUUCCUCCUAAAUACUGCAGCUAUGGGCUCUCCUUGACAGGAAGAUUUGUAAAAUCUCCUCAAGUUGCAGGCUAAUGGUUCUCAGGUUCUGAGAGACUUUUUAUGCCUCCUCCAAAAGCCUAUGACAAUCGAAUUUUCAUGCAUUCUUUCCAUGUAGUUUUGUUUCUUCGACGUCCUGUAGCUUCAUCUCAUAUUGAACUCUGGUACUUCCUUGACUGGGCUACCAAGAACACCGAGUACACGAAAAUCAGGAUAAGCCCACAAAAUAAGACGGAGUCAUCACUUACCUUUCAUCGAUGCACUUUCCGUGUACGGCAAGCUAAACCCGGAGCUCAUAGAUACAAACACGUCACUAGAGAAGCACAGGCCAGCAGAAAAUCCAGCUGAGUAUAAAAUCCCCGCGAAAGCAGGCAUUCAAGCAUCGUCGUCGUCCACAAUGAGGUCUCACCUAUUUUCGCUCUGCUUACUGCUCGCAGCUCUGCUGGUGAUGCUGGGAAAAAUAGAAGCUCAAAGUAAGGAAGCAAAAUGUUCUUUGUUCAUUUGAGUCGUUCUCCAUUUCACUAAACGUAAAUGUAUUUCUCUGCAGUUUGCACGCAGGAAUGCCUUCCCAACUCUACCCUUCUAUGCGGCGAUGUAGUAUCCCUGGAACACUGUCAGAAUUGCUGCACCAUCAGGCGGUACAAUGGUGGUGGAUGCGCUCUAAUUCGUAAUGGAGAAAUCAUCUGCGUGGGGGACAAUUAUUCACCUCCUUUUGGAACAACCCCGCCUAGACCUUGAACGGUGCAACAAGAUGUUUUAUAAGAUUGCAUAAAUAAAGAGAAUGCUCAAAGUUUCCACACUACCGAGUGGACUUUGAGGAGGUUGGUCUUACUACGUACUUUAGGCAAUCAAUUUGUAACAGGUAGCCUAGUUUACUUUAUUAGUGAUGUGACUACAAAUAUUUUAUGAAUGUAAAUUUGAAUAUAAAAUUUAAAAUCAACUAGUUGUAAUAUAAAACUUUUACCUGUAGGAUCUGUCACAAGUUGAGCACAAAAAUGUAUCAAUAUCCUUAUUAGAUGUCCGUUUUCUGAUUAAUAAUUUAACUUCCUCAGGCAUCAAUUGCUGACUUUCUUCUUCUGCUAGUGAAAUAGCUUGUAAUGCAGUAGCCAAGCCAAAAUAAAAUUUAUUUUGACUUUUUUUACUUGUGGUUUGUUUCUAUUUCUUCCUAAUACAUCAAAAGUUUAGACUACACAUGUAUUUGUUUCACCUAUAACAGGUAUAUACCUUAGUUGUAUGUUUAGUUUUACAAUUUAGUGGAUAUAUCUAGAAUAUAUUUGAAUAUUUUAAAAUAUUCUACAAUCUAGAUUACUAUUUUAUUUAUAAUUAUAAACAUGUUUAUAAUUGGUUUCUAGUAUUUUUGGUACUAUUAAGCAAACAAGUGUUGCUGCGUGCAACACACAGCAAGUUUCUUACAUUUUGGGAGUAAACUUCCAGUUGAUUGGAUUAAUAAUAAUAGUAUUUGACUAUAAAAAGUAAUUAGUGGUCAAUUUUUAGGCCGAAAGAUUUUCUACCAAAACCUGGAAGCACCACUGGCACUUGGAAGUCGGAACUUCAGUCGAGGUCUUGCCUACCUGCACAAAGAACCUGGAAAACAGACUUAAAGAUCAAGCCACAACGAGAAAUUUGGCAUGGAGAUCUCCACGAUGCCAAGAACCUCUUCGACAGCGCUCCAACGCGGUGGUUUCUUGGAACAUGGCGGUCGAGGCCUACGCCGAACACGGCUAGCUCCAAGAAGCGAAUUCCCUGUUCGACGCCAUUCCUUGCUGCAAUAUCUUCUCCUGGAACGCAAUGCUCCAAGCGUACCUUCGGUCCGACCGCCUGGUGCCCGGAUCUGGACGUCCAAGCGCACGCCGAGCGAGGCCUGGCGUGGAACCUCUUCUCCUGGACGAUCCUCGUCUCGGGGAUAGGGCGUGGCGGGCAUUUCAGAGGCCAGGGAAGUAUUUGACGGGGUCAGGGAUCGAAACGUGGUCACCUGGAACGCCAUGUAUGGCAGCGCGUGAAAUAUUCGAUUCCAUGGGCGAGAGAAAUGGAAUGUCUUGGGCUUUGAUGAUAUAUAAACGAUAGCUUGGAGGAAGCACAAAAUCUUCUCGAAACCUUGCCCUCAGAAAAACCACUGGCCUGGAACUUGUUCUUGUAGCACAUGCCCAAGAUGGGGAAAUUGAGGAGCGAUCCCUCUCAAGGCCAUAGCAGCAGCAUUUUCGCAGUUUGGACGUCUUGAUCGAUCACACAAGAUCUUUGAGACAAUGCCGGAGAGGAACACUGUUUCCUGGAACGCAAUGCUUCAUGGCUAUGCCAAGAACGCCCACGCUGUAGAAACCUUGGAUCUUUACAAGAGGAUGGCGUGUGAAGGAGUAGAUCCCGAUGCCACCACUCUCAUCGCCACCUUGAUCGCCUGUAACCACAUUGGCUUGCUCGCUCUGGCAAUCCACCACUUCUCCUCCAUGAGCUUCGAUCACUCCAUCGCCGAGACAAUUGAUCACUACUGCUGUAUGAUCGACAUCCUUGGCCGGGCCGGCAAGAUACCAGAGGCCCAAGAGCUGCUCCACACGAUGCCAUUCCAAGCCAACCAAGUUGCAUACACUGCUCUUUUAAAUUCCUCUAGAAAUGCUGUUCUAGAGGUUGUUCCCUGUGGAUACCAUGUAUGUUCUGCUGUCCAACUUAGCGGCAGCUAUUGUUAAUACCCAUUCAGCUAAGAGAAUACCUUGAAAGGAUGCCUUCUCGUGACUUUGAUGGCAUGUACCCGCGCAGCAUCCUUAUUUCUGGUCUAUAAUGACCCUUGGCAGUUGUUCCAAUCUUGCUUGUAAAUGCUCCAUUGGUUACAGAUUAGUUCUGUUUCUUGUUAUAGUAGGUGGUUUGAAAAAUAUAACUUGUCUCAAUAACAAUGAGUAGCCAGAAUAGCCGUGAAGCAUAGCGUUCCAGGAAACAGUGCUCCUAAAUGCUGCAGCUAUGGGGGUCGAGGAUACUACGUCCUUGACAGGAAAAUUUGUAAAAUCUCCUCAAGUUGCAGGUUUUGAGAGACUUUUUAUGCCUCCUCCAAAAGCCUAACCAUCGAACUUUCUUGCGUUCUUUCCCGUGUUUCUUUGACGUCCUGUAGCUUCAUGUCAUAUUGAACUCUACGUAGUCAUCGCUCACCUUUCGUCGAUGCGCUUUCCGUGUACGGCAAGCUAAACCCGGAGCGCAAAUAUACAAACACGUCACUAGAGAAGCACCGGCCAGGGACUUUCUAUCCAGCAGAAAAUCCAGCUGACUAUAAAAUCCCCACGAAAGCAAGCAUUCAAGCAUCGCUUGUUACUCCUCGUCGUCCACAAUGAGGUCUCAGUUAUUUUCGCUCUGCUUACUGCUCGCAGCUCUGCUGGUGCUGCUGGGAAAAACAGAAGCUCAAAAUCCAGCGAUCUUUAUUCAUCUGAGUCGAGUCUCCAUUUCAUGGGGGUUCGCUAAACGUGUUUCCUGCAGCUUGCACGGGGGAAUGCCUUCCCGACUCUAUCCUCCGAUGCGGCGAUGUAAUAUUCCCGGAACACUGUCAGAAUUGCUGCACCAUCAGGCGGUACAGUGGGGGUAGAUGCGCUCUCAUUCGUAAUGGAGAAAUCAUCUGCGUGGGGGACAAUUAUUUACCUCCUUUUGGAACAUCCCCGCCUAGACCUUGAACGGUGCAACAAGAUGUUUUAUAAGAUUACAUAAAUAAAGAGAAUGCUGAAAGUUUCCACACUGCCGAGUGGACUUUGAGGUUGGUCUUGCUACGUACUUUAUGCAAUCAAUUUGUAGCAGGCAGUCUAAGUGAUUUUCUAUCCAACCAUCAUUCAGGGUUCAAAAUUGAAUUUCUUUUUGACUGCCAAGUUUUUUUUAUUAGUCAUGUGACUACAAAGAUUUUAUGAAUGUAUUGCAUACAAAAUCUUAUAUCAACUAGUUGUAAUAUAAAUUUUUUCCCUGUAUUGUCUCUAACCCAAAGAUAUAUCAAUCCUAUUGAAUCUCCAUUUUUUGAUUAGCAACUUAACUUCUUCAGGAAUUGAUUGUUGGCUUUCUUUUUCUAAUGCAUUAACUAAGCCCCAAUAUAACUCUAUUUUACUUGUAGUUCAUUUCUAUUUCUUCUUAAUAGGUCAAAAUUUUAACUUGAGUAUAUGUAGUGAAAUGGGACAUACCUUGGAGCAUUAGAAGUAGUUGUAACUGCUUCAUCUAUAACAGAUUUUACCAUCUAACAGUUAUUAUUCAUUUAGAUUAAUUUUGUAUUUAUAAUUUAUAAACUUUCUUAAACACUUCCUAGUACAUUCUUUUUUAUUCUACCAUUGGUUAAUAUGCAAUAAAAUUAAUCUUGAUUUAUAAAUUAUAAACAUGUUUAUCAUUAUUAAUCAGUUUUAUAUAUAUAUAUAUAUAUAUAUAUAUAUAUAUAUAUAUAUAUAUAUAUAUAUAUAUAUAUAUAUAUAUAUAUAUAUAUAUAUAUAUAUAUAUAUAACACCAUGCCUAGGUAAUAUGCUAAUUAUAGUACUCUAUAACAUAUAGAAUAUCCAUUCAGGACUUAAUUUGGUCCAUUCAUAAAGAGGGGUCUAAACCCUAAUUAUAUUCACAGUGUUUAUAAAUUAUAAAUAUGUUUGUAAUUAUAAAAUUUUAAUAAUUAAUAAUAAUAAACAUUAUUCUUAUAGAAAAAAAACAGUGGUCAAUUUUUAACCCUUUUCCUUUGGUGCUGUUUUAAUAAAAUGCCAGGUUUCAUGUGCUGCCUUUCUCAAGUUCCAAUUUCUAAACCAUCCCAUGGAAUGAGUUGCUAGAGCUCGCCAUUGCAUGCAGUGUUGCUGCAAGUACAGUCCUUAUAAUCAGGCUCUUUGUUGUUCUGGGCUCUUAUGCAAAAACAAAAGAUGCAGAAACGAGCUGUACACGGCCCUCUAAGAAUACUGCAGUUAGAAGGUUUUCUCAGUAGUCGGGGAGACGCAGUUUUUAGCCAAAGUUCAUGCAUUUUGUGUGGUUUCUGCGUUCCAUUUUACAAGUUUCAAGUUACUGCUUUAUGAGUUCCUGCCCAAAGGUUUGCUGGACUAAUGGAUUUUAAAAGCCAUAACCUGGAAGCACUCCACUGGCACUUGGAAGUCGGAACUUCGGUCUUGCCUACCUGCACAAAGAACCUGGAAACCAAAACGAGAAAUUUGGCAUGGCAGUAAAAUAGAUAGGUGACGGGAGACCAAAAAGGAGACAGUUGUAGUAGUUAUAUUGUGUCGUGGACGUUGAUGAUCGCGGCCUGCGUGGAAGCGGAGUCGCUGCUGGCUCGGAUGCCAUACAAGGUCGUGAUUGCCGAGACCGUGAUCGUGGAAUCGCUAGCGAGAUCCGGAUGUGCGAUCGGAUGCCACAGCGGAAUGUUGUGGCCUAGAACACAGCUUACACGCGAAGUGGAGACGAGAGUGGAGACCUUGAUCGAGCGAGCUUACUGUGUGACGCAAUGCCGGAGAAGGAUCAAGUGUCCUGGAACAUCUUGGCGCAGAGGUAUGCCUCGGAGUGAAAUCUGGCCAUGGUGAGGCAUUUCUUCAAAGAGAAUGCCGAGGAGAGAUGUGGUUUCUUGGACCGCGAUGCUCGUCACGCACGCGAGCAGCUGGGAAAUCGACAAGGAAAUGUUCUUGUUUGAGAUUAUGCCCGGAAAGGAUGUGAUCGCCUGGAAUAUCAUGAUCGCCGCCAUGCCAGAUCGGGAAAUCUCCACACUGCCAAGAACCUCUUCGACAGCUCUCCAACGCGGGGCCUGGUUUCUUGGAACAUGGCAGUCGAGGCCUACGCCGAGCACAGCUAGCUCCAAGAAGCGAACUCCCUGUUCGACGCGGAACGCAAUUCUCCAAGCGUACUUUCGAGCUCUUCUUCGAUCGAAUACCGGAACUCGUUGUAGCGUGGAACAGCGCCAUGCAACCGCACGCCGAGCGAGGCCUGCGAUUGUUCCACGCAAUGCCGGCGUGUCGUCUCCUGGGUGAUCCUCGUCUCGCGGCGGGCACUUAAAAGAAGGGAUGUAGUUGACGGGGCCAGGGAUUGGAAAGUGGUCACCUGGAACGCCAUGCUUGCGUGCUAUGGCAGCGCGUGAAAUAUUCGAUUCCAUGGGCGACUCAAGACCUUGCCCUCAGAGAAACCACUUGGAACUUGUUCAUGCCGCACAUGCCCAAUGUUAGGAUCCUAUCCCUUACACCCUAAGCCAACUGGCUAAAGGGGUGAUCACUUGAUUGCAGGGCCCUUUCCUUAUCCUAUUAUCCUGACCUGGUGCCUAACAAUCUUCCCUCGUCAGAGAAUGAUCGUCCGCGAUCAUACUUAGGCCACCAUCUGGUCACCAUGGUCCUUCUCUUAGGGUCUCCCAAACCUUGGUUCUCCCUCUAGAUUCACCAUGUUAAAUAUUCUUUCAGAAUAUUCUUGCCCCACUCAUCAGCCACGAGAAUCAAACUAGGCUCCAAUACCAUUGUUAGGAUUCUAUCCCUUACACCCUAACCCAACUGGCUAAAGGGGUGAUCACUUGAUUGCAGGGCCCUUUCCUUAUCCUAUUAUCCUGACCUGGUGCCUAACACCCAAGAUUGGCAAAUUGAGGAGCGCGAUCCCUGUCAAGGCCAUGGCAGCAGCAUGUUUGCAGUUUGGGCGUCUCGAACACAAGAUCUUUGAGACAAUGCCGGAGAGGAACAGUGUUUCCUGGAACGCAAUGCUUCAUGGCCAUGCCAAAAACGCUCAUGCUGUAGAAGCCUUGGAUCUUUACAAGAGGAUGGCGUGUGCCCGAUGCCAAUUCUCAUCGCCAGGCUUGCUCGCUCCAUCCUUGGUCGCCCCGGCAAGAUCCCAGAGACCCAAGAGCUGCUCCACAGCCAACCAUGUUGCCUACACUGCUCUUUUAAACUCCUCCAGAAACGCUGCUCUAGCUUCUUCACUGAGGUCUUCCCCUGUGGAUACCAUGUAUGUUCUGCUGUCCAACUUAGCUGCCCAAAAUGCUACUUUUCACAUUAUUGGCUUUACAUACCAUGCUUCAGCUAUAAGUUUUACUUCUGUUUUACGAGAAUACCUUGAAGAAUUGGCCUCUCAUGACUUUGAUGAAGGCAUGUGUACCUGCGCAGUAUCCUUAUUUCUCUUUGCUUAUAAAUGCUGCAUUGAGGUUGGACGGAUGCUGAGUGGUAGUUCUGUUUCUUGUUAUAAUAGGUUCUGGUCUGGUUUGAUCAAAAAACUUCUCUCAACAACGGGAAUCGUUCCAGGAUGCAGUGUUCAUUUCCUCAAAGAUCUUGCGUGAUUGAUCAAGAUGCGGGAAAAUGCUGCAGCUAUGGUGGUCCAGAAUAUUACGUCCUUGACAGGAAAGUUUGUAAAGUCUCCUCAAAGUUGCCCACUUUAGGCAUGUGCUUUCAAUACAUGCUUUUGGGGUCUUAUGCUUUUGAAGCAUAAGACCACUAAGAAGAAGAAGGAUCGUCUCUACCUCCUACUCUCUCUCUCUCUACACUCUCUUGUGCUUGAGCCGCCCGAAUCUCCUGGUAGAUGGCCAAGUAGUGCGAAUUUCCAGUCGGGUUUUGAGAAGGCCUUCCACAAGCCUAUGACAAUCGAAGUUUCACCCGUUCUUUUCAGUAGUUUCGUAGUUGCAUCCCAUAUUGAACUCUGGUACUUUCUUGACUGGGAUGCCAAUCGCCUGUAAUACCGAGCACACGAAAGUCAAGUAGAGCCCACAAUAGGAGACACCUUACAGUCAUCGCUCACCUUUCGUACAGGCACGUUUCUCCAGGACCAGCUGACUAUAAAAUACCCACAAAAGCGGGCGAAGGCAAGCAUUCUGCUCAUUCAAGCAUCGCUUGUUAUCGUCCACAAUGAGGUCUCACUUAUUUUCGCUCUGCUUACUGCUCGCAGCUCUGCUGGUGCUGCUGGGAAAAACAGAAGCUCAAGGUAAGGAAGUAAAAUGCUGAAUCCAGCGAUCUUUAUUCAUCUGAGUCGAGUCUCCAUUUCAUGGGGGUUCGCUAAACGUGUUUCCUGCAGCUUGCACGAAGGAAUGCCUUGCCGGCUCUAUCCUCCGAUGCGGUGAUGUAUUAUUCCCGGAACACUGUCAGAAUUGCUGCACCAUCAGGCAGCAGUACCGUGGUGGUAGAUGCGCUCUCAUUCGUAAUGGUAAAAUCAUCUGCGUGGGGGACAAUUAUUUACCUCCUAAAGGGACCCCGUCUAGACCUUGAACGGUGCAACAAGAUGUUCCACAUAAGAUUACAUAAAUAAUGCUCUUGAGGCCUGGAAUGCUCUCUUUUUUUUCCCAUGCUGCCUUUCCCAAGUUCCAAUUUCCAAACCAUCCCAUGGAAUGAGUUCCUAGCUUGCCAUUGCAUGCAGUGUUGCUGCAACUACAGCCCUUAUAAUCUGCUCUUUGUUGUUCUGGGCUCUUAUUCAAAAACAAAGAUGCAGAAACGAGAUGCGCAGGGCCCUCCACAAAGAGUCAGAAUACUGCAAUUAGACGUCGGGGAGACGCAGUUUUAGCCAAAGUUCAAGCAUUUUGUGCGUUUCAUUUUACAAGUUGCAAGUUAUGAUUUUAAAAGCCAACACUCCAUUUCCAGGUGGAGUGCAAUUUGUAAACCCCCUUUUCCAUGGUGAAAAAGUCACGCGGUUUACAAAUUGCAUACACUGGCACUCGGAAGUCGAAACUUCAGUCGAGGUCUUACCUACCUGCACGGAAAACAGACUUAAAAGAUCAAGCCACAAAGCUGUAUAUCCCAUACUCUAAAUUCAUACUAAAGGUUAUAAACUAAAAUAUUAUUAACUACUACAAUUGUCUCCCGUCAAUUUUCCUGCGUUUAACAGUGUUACAAGCAACACAAGAACACUGGGGUGAGAAAGAUGCCAUUGGAAAUUGCUGUAUCAAGGAUGAAUCGCCCAUCCAAUACCACCGUGGCGAGUGGCAACUUUAUCCCCUUGAGCAGCAAUGACUCGCCUCCCACAAUUGACAUCCAAAGCUUUGACGAGAUGGCACCUCUGACGUUCUUCUAUGAUCUAUGUUGACCUGGUUUUCACAGGACCCGCAUUCUCGAGCCUUACGUUGCUCCUUCCAACAACAGCCACAACAUUCCAUACUCGAAUCCUUUGAGUGUGAGGAACCACACAUAUGAUUUCGUGGUCGUCCCACUGGUGAAGCCCAUGGACAGCCGUGUCGUCCACUCCCUGGCUGAUACCAUCCAGCAGUACCCGUUUCGUUCACCACCUCGCUCCACCAAAAGUAAAAGCUUAUACGAAUGAAUGAAAAAUCACCUUUUCCUUUGUUCGAAACCAUUCUCCGUCAUUUCCUGCUCAUUGAUCCCACCAUGUCGCUGCACGACGCAAAGAUAGCUUAGCAAUUUUACAUGACAACAGCGCCAUUCGUUUUUCCCCUGUCAACUAGUUCAGAAAGUGAAUACCUUGAAAGAACGCUCACGGGAAGGUGUGUGUACCAUGCGCGGCAUCCUUAUUUCUGGUCUGCGAGGUCCCCUCCGAGUCGUUCCAAUCUUGCUUGUAAACGCGCCAUUGGCAAGCUUAUAGAGGUCGGACGGAUGCUGAGGUGGGAGCUUUGUUUCUUCGAAGUCCUGCGAUGUAGGAUUGUUAAUCAUUUUCUCAUAGGUUCUUGCCUGGUUUGAAGAAAACAACUUUUCUCGCUGCCACAGAAACCUCUGCCGCUCCUCUUCACCAACAGGUUGGAAUUUGAGAUCACGCUGUGAAAAACUGCCAGGUUCAAUCCCAUGCAGAAGCUUCUCAAUAAUGUCUCUUGCGUCCGUAUCGUCCAGAUCAGCAAGUGAAGGAGAGUUUUCAAUGUUCUCGCGUAGCUGAUGGCAGGCUAAUUUUUCAGACAGAGGAUACACCUGCGGUCAAACACAAGAGUUUAUCUAUACCAAAACAUGGAAAAUAAUCAAGUUACCUGAAUAAUGAAACCUCGGGCAGUCUUUACAAUGUUGUGUUCGUCAAAUUUCAUAGCUAAGCUAGCUGCUGUAUCCAUCUGCAAGGAUGAAAGACAAUGUGUGAAGAAAACAGAGCGACCAAUCAAUAUUACCUUCUGGUUUUUCCAAAGAAAAUAUGCUAAGCUCUCUGCAACUUCACGAGAUGGUCCCAUCGGGGACCUACAACAUGAGAAAGAACAGAAGGAUAGAAACGAAAAUCACUUGCUAGAUGGAGCGUACUUACACAAAGGUUCUGUGAGACUUCGAUAGGCUUAUAGACAGGCGCAUGUCACACUCUCUGACUACCGUGGCCAUGAUCAUCUGAAGAUAUGACAAAUUAAGUUCCAUAGUUUUAUCAAAGCGGGGACUUACGUUUCCAUGAGAACUGUGGCUUAGAUUGUGGACGUGACCCGUCGUGAAACCAUCAAAUGUAGUGGCCGCAUGAACAAAUCCAAGACGUCCAUCGCAUACUGUUGAUAUCUGACGAAAAACAUCAUCAACUCACCUGCAAACAAUGAUAGAGAAAGGCAAAACGCAUCGCACCGUGAUAGCAUUCGCGUCGGGAAAAAUCGAGCUCAAAAGAACCGAUCCCAUCAUCGCGUUACCAAGAACGAUCGACGACUAAAGGAGAAAAAACAAUAACCAAUCCAAGAAAUGAGCAGGCUCCACAUACCAUUCGAGAAGUUUGAAGCGUUCUCUGAGCUUCCCGAACGAGAGCAUCGGCUUUGACACUAUGAAUCUCGAUCUAAAAUCCUCGUUAGUGUGUUCUUCAUUCAAUCAAUGGUACUGCAUACCUCUUCACUCGAGCUGACGCAGCUAAGAAUGUAAUCACCACUACCGCUGGAGGAGCAAAAGCCUGCACACAACGUUUGAUCCAAUCGUCAAGAGUAAAAGCGCUCGAAGACAAGGAAGCACUCACCCCUUCUCAACGCGAGUAGAGAACGCAACCUGCGCAUCGCAAUAUCAAAUGGAGACCUAAAACGUGAAUAUGCGAGAAGAAGGUAUUUGUGCUCCAAUCGAUCUUCUCGAGCAGCAAGGCUACCAUGCCGAUCUCCAGCUCUGCCUCCAGCUCGUCAAAUCUUGCGGUCACUCCAGGGAUCUCUCCCAAGCAAAGAAGCUCCACUCCCAGAUCCUUGCAACCAAGCACUCGCGCAAUCGGCACCUGGAGAACCUCCUCAUCGAGAUGUAUGGAAAAUGCGGGAGUCUGGAGCGCGCGCGCGCGCUGUUCUUGACGAUCUGGAGGAGCCAAACCCCUUCUCCUGGCAGAGCGGGCAUCUGGAACAAGCCAAAGAGAUCUUCCAGCGAGAUGGCACGGCACAACACCGUCUCCUGGACUGCACUGCUCACCGCGCAUUCCCAGAGCGGGACUUUUCAAGAAUCCUGGAGCCUGUUCCAAUCGAUGCCCCGGAACAACACCAUCGCCUGAAACGCGAUGAUCGCGAUAAUCCCUAGCGCGAUUGCUCUUCGUCCUGGAAUGCGAUGCUAACGGCAUAUUCCAAGAACGGGCUGCAUCCUUUUGCUACUAACCAUGCCUUUUAGUGUUCGAUCUCGUUUGACUCCUUGUAUUUGAGGUUGUGGAUCCACUUACACUUUAUAAUCGAUGUGCCUGUAGGUAUAGACUCCCUAAGAACAAGGCUCCAUGCAUCAUUCUCAAGCUGAGCGUUAUACUCGCUUUGCAUAGCAGCCUUUCAGUGAAAUCUUUGUGGUCCUCCAAGUACUUCCUGUAAAGUUAGAGGUUCUUGGAUAACUUGAGCAACCUAAGCAUGAUAUUGUAGAAUAUUUCUUGUUGGCUUCUAGGUUCUGGUUGAGUGAUGCUAGGAAUCCAUUCUCGUUCAAGCUCUAUUUGAAUAGUUUGUUCAACGUCUUGUUCUUCUAUAGAACUUUCAACAUAAGAGUACCUAUAGUUAAAUCACUAUAAGUUGAGGGAAAUCUGCUGGCAGUUGUUUUUAUCAGUGGAGGUGGUUAUGGAGGGAGUGACAUCGUUGUUCCUCAAGCUGCCAAGACACAGUUAGAUUGAAGUCUGAUAAAUACCUAAGUAUUAGAACUUCCAAUUGAAGUAGAAGUUGAGUAUGUAGGGAUCAUUUCUCUAAAGAGACGAGUCCUCCAAACUAGGAAUUUCUUCUGGCUAAAAACCACACUUGAUAUCCUUCUUUUGUGGUCUUGCUAUAGCCUAGCAUCAUGUAUAUAAUAGUCCUAUCUUCCCACUUGUUUUGUCUUUGUUCAUCAAAGGUAUGGGAGUAUCCUAUACAGCAAAAAGCACGUAAGUAAAAGAUGGUUUCAUACCUGUCCAUAAUUCAGAAGGGGUAGUACAUUCUGAAUAUACUGCAGUAUUGACUGCCUCUGCUUAUAUGAAACAUAUGCUUUGUGAGAAACAUCCAAAAUAGUGAGCAUCUCUCUCUACAACUCCAUUUUAUUUGUGAUCGUAUAUUUGGAGAGAAACACCUUGAGAUGCAAGGAUGGUUUGGACCUUUGUAAAAAGUAGUUUUUGGCCUCCAUCAAUAUGAAGAAUUCAGAGACUAUUUGAAUGGAAUUGUAAAAUUUGAGAGGAGUUUAUUUUAGGAAGUAAACAAAAGUGUGAUGACUGAAGUCAUCCACAAUUAGUAAGAAAUAUUUAGUCUCAUUUAAAAUCAGAUAGACCCUAGAUAUCUAUAUGAACUAGUGCUAAUAAAAAAGUACCUUGAGUCUUACCUUUUUGGGUUAUGGCUUCUUCAUUUUUGCUUGAAAAUAUGCAUUGCAAUCUUCUAGACUUGGUCUUUCCAGUUAUGGUAUACCAUUUAACAGUGCUAGUGUUUGUAACACGACAAAAACUUGCAUAUGUUAAUCCAUAGUGCCAUAAUUAUAAUACAGAAUCAUUAAAUAUUGAAAUAGUAUGAGCUGCCAAAGUAUCUAAAGAAACAUAAUAAAGUCCAUUUAUAUAUGUAGCCUAAGUUAUUUGAGUUUUAUUGAAAUUGAAAUUUGCUCUUGUCCUAUGGAAAACCAUAUAGAUUCCUUGUUUUAAAAGCUUAGAGAUAUAUAAAAGAUGACAAAUAAGCUUAGGGAUAUACAAAACAUUAGUAAUCUUAAGAUUUAAAAUGGGAAAAUAGCUUGUACCAAAAGCAAUUAAUCAUAAAUCCUCACCACUUUUAGUAUUUGUAGACAUUGAAAACUUCUUAUAUUUGCUUUGAUAAAAGAGAGUUUUGUCCAAUGUUAUAUGGUGUGUAGCUUCAUAUAAUUCAAAAACAUCUAAGAAUUUGGUGGAGCAGUCUCAUAUGAAAUAUGUUGUAAUGAAUGUUAUAGGUUUGGAUAUGUUACAGCCAAUUUUCUAAAUUCACAAAGCAAUUAUAAAUGUAAAGGAUUAGUUGUCACUUUUAUAAUAAUACACUAUAAUGAACAUGAUGAUUUUUUGGAAAGUACUUUAAACUUUGAGGAUUUAUCUAGUUUUCAUAUAGAUUAUGCUGAGAUUGAGAAGUGUCAAAAUCUAAGUUGGCUUCUAGAUAUUAUUGGAGAAGUGCUCUGACAUUCUCGCAACUAAAGCCAUAUCUCUCUUUCUUUUAUUAGUCAUUAUUAUCUUUAUGUUUAUUUUUAACUUCAAAAAUACCACUUAAGCUUGCAUAAUGAUAAAUGUUGGCAAUGACUUGGUCAAAACUUGGUCAUGUUUGAGUUUCUUGAAGCUUCAACUUGGCCAUUUAAAACUUUUCACUCAAUAAAAAAAUUAAUAAAACUCUAAUAACACUUGAAAAACCCAAUUUUAUACUUUAAAGUUUAUUACUGCGAAGAGUCAUUUCUCAAUAUAAUCUUAAACUUUCUCUUGAUAUUUUUACUUACAAUUCACCAUUUGUAAAAAAAAUAGUUAUAUCUAUCAUUUAUUAUUAUUUGUAAUAAAAUUGUUGAAGAGUGUUUUACUUCUAAUGAAUUAAGAUAUUUCUUCACCUUGAGAAUAUUUUUUUAGUGCACUCUCUAAAUGAGAAUUAAUUUUGCAACAAUAUUCUUUUACUCAAAAUCUUUAUAUUAUUUUUGAUGCAAUUGUUUUUGCAUUUUUACUACAUCCUUUAAAGAUAUCACUGCUAGUGAUUGAUCUCUUCUAGAAACAAUCUUAAAAAAUAUAUUUUUGUUGAGUUUUACCUCCAUAAUUAAAAGCCAUUUAAAUACAUUAUUAUGCUAUAACAAAAUCUUAAAGUUUAUUAUCCUCAAAGCUCAACCAUUUUCCCAUUCUAAUCAUUCUAAUAUUUACUUGUGUUUGAUUUAUCUACUUACCUCUAUCUUUUUUUGAUAGGUAAUGACUCAUUUGUUAAGCUAAUAUAAAUAAUUAAAAAGAAUAACUCCCUCUUUUUCAAUCAAUUAAAGUUUAUAUUUAGUGUCAAAGGGGUCUUUAGUAAGAAAAAUCAUGUUAUAUGUUAAGAUUGACAUUUGGCUAGGGAAAUCUUAUUAUAUAUUGAAAUUGACAUUUAACAAUUCAAUCAAAAGAGCGAACCUUUCGGGUCCGACUUUGUUGGUUGGUUAGGGGAAUCACAUUAUAUAUUAAAUUUGACAUUUGGCAAUUUAAUUAAAAGGUCUCGGGCCCAAUUCUGUUGAUUGGCUAGGGGAAUCAUAUCACAUAUUGAGUUUGAUAUUAAGGGGUGUAAUUAAAAAAAUCAAGCUCUCAAGAAAGUUAUAGCAUCCUUUAGGUUUAUUUAAAUAAUACUAAUAUUUGGCCCCUCUUUUACCCACUUUACACUUGCAUUUCAUCCCAUCUCCGGCAAUGAAGGAAUUCAAGCAGUGGCAGCAAUACAAUGAGAAGGGAUCCAUCCAAUUUUCAAAAAGUUCAACGAAGACUGUUUCUGAGCUGAGCUAAGAAAAGAAAUUAAAAAAAAUGAGAGAGAAGAGAGGAGUUCAAAAACCCUAGACCAAGUAAGAAAUUUGAUAUAGCUAUGGAAAUGUUGUGCCAUGAGCUGCAGGAAAUCCAAGCCAUGGUGCUGGAUCGAAUGCACUUUGAGACUGCAAGCUCUAAACUUAGUACAUGUGGCAAGCUUUGGUUAGACGAUGCUGAUGUAAGUCUCAUUAAGCUAGUUCACAACUUGUUGGGCUAACACCUCGCUUGGGCAAAGAUGGGCUUGCCCUACCCAUGACCCAAUCUUCUGCCACUUGUUUUCAUGAUCUUGCUUCUCAUGCCAAAGGAAACCCUAAAACAAAAAGAACAUUCAUUCCUCUCGUACAAGAUUUGUAUUACACCUUCAAAGUCUCACAUCUUGAUAUACAUAAGGGGUUCCUAGAAUCAUGCCACCAUGCUCUAGUAACAUAGUGAUCUGUUCUGACAGCUAGAUCCAGGCACCAUACUGCCUACUGUUUCUAAAAGGACAACAGCCUUCUUUAAGCCUGGUUGAAAUGUCACUUCCUUGUCUACUGUAUUUUAAGAUCCAUGCUGCCAGACAAAGUCAGAAAAUAUCCCUGCAUGACAAAGUCAAGAUACGGGCUUUCACCAUCACUGUUGCAACAUCUAGAUCAUCAUCAAUCUCCAGCAGUGACUUGAAUGCUAGCUGCCCAACACCGGUAAAACUGAGACGAAAGUUGAAAGAGGCUGAAAACUUUGUGAAGAUGCUAUAUAGAGCGUUCCAGUUUACCAUGUCUUCUCUGGACGUAGAGUCAAAGACCAACCCCCAGUUCUGGACAUGACUCGUGUUUUAGUUACCUAUCCCAUUGCCAAAGUGGUAAAAUCUCCAGGAAGAAUAUGAUCCAAGCCUGGAACUCUUUUAUUUUUAUCGAUGAUGCUCGAGUCUAUAUUGUCAACGGUGACAAUAAACUCUAAAAUACAAUUAGCACAAACAUCUUAUUCACUUCGUUUAGAGCUUGUAAGCUUCUAUAACUUGCUCCUUGGAAGGAACGGACACGAGGGAAACGUUGCCAAAGCCACUGUUCUCGAGCAGCGCUUUGUGUUCUUCAAAUCGCCUGGUCUUGCCACCGUCUGUGAAGCCGAUCAUAAUCAUGUCCAGAUCCAUCUCGAAUGGUCUCUCCUUGGAGUAUAUGAGCUCGAUCACUAUCAGUUUGCCUCCUCGUGGCAGAGCUUUGUAGCAAUUCGCCAGCAUCUUGAGGCAAUCCUCGUCGCUAAAAUUGAUGAUUACAGACUGAAGAAACACCACGAAGAUCAUAACGUCAAGGAAAAGAAGACAGAGUACCUUGAUAAGAAGAGCAUCAGCACUUGGUACACUCUCAAACAUGUUGCCUCCCACAUGAGCAACACCUGUUAAGAAAAAACAUGAAGAAAUCAGAAGAAAAUGUGUCUUGAAUCUUACCGGGAAAGGCUGGAGCGCUCGAAACGGUGUGAGGGAGAUCAAAGUUGACACCUUCGAUGUGGGGAUAUUUCUCCACGAUCUUGCCCAUGCACAUUCCAAGGCCACCACCAACAUCCACGAGCUUCUUCACGUCUUUGAAUCCAUCGUAGUGCUCGAGGACGAGGGAGAUAGUGACGGUGCUCCAUGCGAGCGUAGCCUUGUUGAGCAGCUCCACGUACUCGUCGCCGUGGCCGGGGUCGUGCUCCCAAAGACGAACUUUGUUGACCAUCUCGUAAGCGUGGCCUCCAUCCAGCACCGCUUCGUUCACUUUUUGGAACGCGGCCAUGGGAUACUCGUGCGUGCACAAGAGCAGGAGAUGGUGCUCUUCCGCGAGCCACUUUGAGAUUGGAGUGAGGCCGUAGUACGUUUCUCCAUCUUUCUCGAUCUUCUCGCUCAGUGCCCGCUUGUGGACCAGAAACUGGAGGAUUCUCUCGAGGAGAUCCGGCUGACAGUUCUUGGCAUUUGAGAGACGUGACACGAUCUGCUUGAGGGAGAGCGGCCCUGCCUUGGAGAUCAUCUCGGGAAUGCCAAGCAGCACCACAGCCUUGAGCAUGAAAGGAGUCACCAGCGAGAAGAUCAUGCUCUUGAGAUCAAAGUGGCCUUGAGCAUCUUCACUCAUGGUGCUAGAUCCAGGCGCCAUACUGCCUUCUGCUUCUGAAAGGAUGAGAGUAAAUGAGAGCCUUCUUUCAGCCUGGUUGAAAUGUCACUUCUUUUAUACUGUAUUUUAAGGUCGACGCUGCCAGAACAGCGUGACAAAGUCGGAAAAUAUCCUUGCGUGACAAUAUAUCUUCAUCGGGCUUUCACCAUCAAUAAAUAGGCUGCUGCAAUAUCUCGAUCAUCACCAAGCUCUAGCAGCGACUCAAACGCUAGCUGCCCAAUGCUUGCAUUUUUCCACUUGCCACAAGCACCUAGCACAGUCCUCCAGCAAAGUCAAAUCUACAAGCAUUGAAACAAUAGGUAUCACCCACCCUCCGAAAGUUGGCAUGAGAGGUCUCCUGCUCCUUUGCAUUAGCACUAACCAUGGUGGCGGUGGAGUGACCAGCAAGUGUGGAACUUACCUUUACCCCUGGGCUGGUCGUUGCUGAUUGCUGCCGCUGCCCAUUGGCUCAUCACCGUUCGCUCGCCCCUUGGCUGAUCGCCCCUGAAAGGAGACGAACAGCAAACAAGAGUGAGGAAGGAGACGCAUCCUUUCCAUCAGAUUGGCAGAUGUUUCGGAAUCGUUAUCGUCUACUCAACCAGGCACUCUUUACAUGCGUGGGCACCAUUCACAUGAAGCUAGUAUAUAAGAAAGAAAGUUUAUAAACAUGGUUAUAUGUUUCUUAUUGGAUCUAGGGCUUUUGGCGCAAUGAGCCAGUGCGGCAUUUGCAGUGGCGCGGUCUCCAAGUACAAAUGCCCGGGCUGCCUGGUGCCCUACUGCUCGCUGCAGUGCUUCAAGGAUCACAAGGCAGCGCCCUGCACGAAGGUAGCGGCGGCGGAGGAGGAGGAGCAAGCCCAGCUCGUGCAGCCGCCGCGGGAUUUCGAGAAUGGGGAUGAAUCGCAGGUGGCAACCAGGCUCCGGAGGCAGCAGCUCGAGGCGGUGGCGGCGUCGGAGGAGAUCCGCGCCAUGCUCAGGAACGAGGAGCUCCAGGCGAUCGUGAGCAAGAUCGAUGCGUCGGCCACUGCGGAGAAAGAUCUCGACACCGCCAUGAAUCUGCCGGAUUUCAAGGGUUUCGCUGACAAGAUCCUCGAGGUUAUUGCCUCUUUCAGGUAGAUCAUGCCCUCCACGAGCAUCUUAGAGAUCUAGAAUCGAGUCUUCUCUCUUUCUUGGGGUUUUACUGGAUAGAAAUGGCGUCUUUGGCGAUGGCAGCGGCAUUCUCUCCUCUACCUCGCGCCAAUCUCGCCCCAGGAUGGACAGGCUCCUCCAUCGCAGUGAGAGCGCAGGCUAAAUCUCCCACGGAGAAGAAAGAGAAGAAGAAGCGCUCGCCGCCAUCGUCCUCGUUCUCCUCCUCGUCGGGCAGGCAGAGGGAUUUCGAGGAUGGAAUGCUCAUCUGGGACGAUGUGUUUGAGAAGUGCUGCGAGGAUCCGGAGCGCGCGGCGGCAUUGAUGUCGGUGGCGGAGAGGGGAUUGAGAGAGCACGGGCGAGGAUGCGUCUUCGUCCGGGAGAUCGCCAAGGCCGUCUCCAAGGGCGCUGGGACCGGCUUCAUGGGUCGAUCGAGGCCUCUGGACAGAUCCAAGAAGAAGAAGCCGGCGUUCUACAAAUCCGAGAGCUGGAGCGUCGAGUAUGUCCCUCGCAAGUUUAUCAUUGAUCCAAAGCUCGCUCCCAGUGAAGAGGAAGGAGAAGAAGGAAAGGUUAUCCCUGAUCCGAAGCUCUCUCCUAGUGACGAGCAACCGACACUGCCAACUUCGUCAGGAAGUGAGAACUCGAGUUCUUCCAGCUCCUCUUCUCAGGUUUGUGUGAGAAAUUCCAUUCCAUCGUUUCGAUAUUCAAUGCUUUCUUGCAGACCACCGAAGAUCUCCCGCUUGUUCGUCGCAAGGACUUGAUGAUCGUGCUGAGAGGAAUGGACAGAACGAGAGUUUUGAGCUUGACAUCCGAGAGGCUGAUCAAAGACAGCAUCACCGCGAGAUCCGUCCAGAAAACCAGCGAAGAAGAUGAAUUCGAUGCUGGCGGGGAAGAACCAUACAUGCCAUCGAAGCAAGAGCUCGUGUUACUUCUUCACGUAGAUUUCGAUGGAAUGCCCUCGGUUGGCGCGGAUGUUCUUCAAGCACACUCGACUGGCGAUGGCAGGUGGAAGCUCCAGCUGAGAGAUUUCCAGCUCUACCAAUAGGUACUUUGGUUUUUCGCAUCGAUCAAAAGCUUUUCUAACGGAGAACUUCAUGAUCUACUGGGUGUAGGUGUUUGAGAGCAGCACAUAUGAAGAAGCGUGUCCUGGAUCCUGUUUGAUCGCUCGCUCGGUGGUUUUGACUGCUCGCCGAGAAUCCUUGUGGAGUUUGCAAGCCGAGAUCAAAGAGAUCCGAGCGGCACGGUCCGGGACGAAGGGCAUGCUCUCAAACAAAUCCUCGGCAGCGCCCAGAUGCCCAAGACGAGCAAGAAUGUCGAUCAAGCAGCCGUAGUGCUCGGCGGUGAUCGCGAGAUUUUUCCUGUCUGUGGUGACGGAAUAGAAUUGCCGCAACGCUUCCUUGAGAUCGCCCAGAUGGCCACAAGCCGUGAGGAUUCCUACAAAUGUGAUCUCGUCGGGCGAGGCUCCACCGUCUAGCUCCAUGAGCCGGAAGAAAUUUAGCGCUUGCUGGCCAUGCCCCUUCUGGGCAAAUGCCUGAAUGAUCGAUGACCAGGCUACCACAGUUUGAUCUUCCAGCCGCCAAAACGCGCGCUCGAUUAGAUCCAAACGCGAGUGCCUUGCGUAUGCUUGGAUCAGCACGGACCAAGACACAGCGUUCCUUUCGGGCAUAGAGUCGAAGAUUAAAGCCGCUAUUUCCAGAUACCCGUUUAGGGCAUAUGCUUGAAAGAGUGUGGUCCAAGAGAUCACAUUGCAUGAAGGCAUUUGGUGGAAGAAUCUCUCGGCCUCCUCCAAAUGCCCCGAUCUGGAAUACGCAGCUAGCAGGGCAUUCCAGGCAACGAGACUCCUGUGAGGCAUUGAAUCGAAGAGAGCUCUUGCGUGAUCCAGGAGCCCUUUCUCGGCAUACGCCACUAGCAUUGCCGUCCACGACACCACAUCUCUCUCGGGCAUUCUGUCAAAGAGCUCCAUGGCUCGAUCGAAAUCCCCGGCACUGGCAAACGAUUGAAGCAUUGCAUUCCAGGCGACGAUAUCUCGCCGCUCCAUCGCAUCAAACACACGCUUCGCUUGGCCAAGAUCCCCAAUCUGGGAACACACGACGAUCAUGGUGGUCUGCGCGAUCAAAUCCUUCUCUGGCAUUGCCGCGAAGAGCUCUUUCGCUAGCUCAAAUUCUCCCGCCAUAACGGACGCCUGGAUCAUCGUGUUCCAAGACACGUGGUCGCGAUCGGGCAUCGCAACGAACACCGCCCCUGCGCCCGCCACGUGCCCGGCAUUCGCAUAUGCCGUCAGCAUUGCAUUCCAGGUGACCGUACUUUUGUACGGCACGGAGUCGAAGAUCCUUCUCGUGUCGGGAAUGUGCCCGUUCUGGGAAUAUGCCGUUAGCAUCGCAUUCCAGGACGCGAUAUUCUUCCCGGGCGUGGCGUCGAAGAGCAAUCGGGCUAGGGCGACGCGGCCGUGGUGGCCGCAGGCAGCGAUCAUCGCGUUCCAGGCGAUGGUGUUGCGCCGGGGCAUCGAUUGGAACAGGCCCCAGGAAUCUUGGAAAUUCCCGCUCUGGGAAUGCGCGGUGAGCAUCGCGGUCCAGGAGACGGUGUUGUGCUGUGGCAUCUCGCUGGCGAAGAUCUCCUUGGCUUGUUCCAGAUGCCCGCGCUCGAUGUAGGCCGUGAGCAAAAUAUUCCAGGAGAAGAUGUUUGGCUCCUCCAGAUCGUCAAGAACAGCGCGCGCGCGCUCCAGGCUCCCGCAUUUUCCAUACAUCUCGAUGAGGAGGUUCUCCAGGUGCCGAUUGCGCGAGUGUUUGGUUCCAAGGAUCUGGGAGUGGAGCUUCUUUGCUUGCGAGAGAUCCCUGAAGUGACUGCAAGAUUUGACGAGCUGGAGGCAGAGCUGGAGAUCGGCAUGGUAGCCUUGCUGCUCGAGAAGAUCAAUUGAUCGCGUGGUCAUUCAUGCGCAGCUUCUUUGAUUUACGGUGCUGAGUUGAUGCUUUUCGUCAGAUAUCUACAAUAUGCGAUGGACGUCUUGGAUUUGUUCAUGGUCACGUUCACAAUCCAAGCCACAGUUCUCAUGGAAAUGUAAAUUCUCGCUUUGAUAGAACCAUGGAACUUAAUUUGUUAUAUCUUCAGGUGAUCAUGGCCAUGGCGACAUACGUCUAUAAGCUUAUUGAAGUUUUACAGUACUUUUGUGUAUGUAUAUUUAUAAGUGAUUUUAUUUUCUAUCUAUAUAUUUAUCUAUCUAUAUGUUAUUUUGAUAGUUUUGUAAAAUGUUAUUACACUCCACUCACUAGCCUUGCCUACCCGUCUUCUUUUCCUCAGCCAUUCGAGGUCUUUGAUUAUGGUUGCCUCCAUGGCAGGUGUGAGAUGCCAUCACAGCUCCAUGCAUUUCAGGUAAUUGGCAACGGAUGAGGUUGUCUCCUUGUUUCUGAGGAUUAUGUGUAUUUCAGCGCUGCAGUUGAAGUCUGGGGAGCGGAAUUCGGCACAGGGAGGGCAAGCCUUGAGUGUGUGCAUGAAUGUCUCUGUGUCUUCUGCACAGAUAGAGAUGUCGUGGAAGUUUUCCCUGUCCGCAGCAUCCGAGUUCAAUCAGGAGGCUGUGGCUUCCUGUCUGGUACUAGGCAAUGGUGUCUACUCCAUGUCCAAUCCAAAAGUUUUGUCUGGGUUUAUCUCCUGGCAAUAAAGGUAAUAUUUCGUGAAGUGUUUUCUGGCAUGUAUCCAUGUGUGCAUUGCUUUGUUCAAGAUCCUCUUCAUGUGCACUGAGAAUGUCAUUGAGAUCCAUGCCAAACUUCUGUGUCAACAUCUCCAUGUCAUGCCAUUGAGAGUUGAGACUUGCUUGAUCUGUGAGCAUGCCAUAUGGUAUGAAGUGAGUUUUACAGAGGUAUUGGAUUGUACAUCACUAUGCCAUGAUCUCUAGUGCAGCUUCUAUGAAGAGGAUGGGGAGUGCUGUUUUGGGUGGAGAUGCCGAGUUUGUCCAAAAUGAAAGUUGAUGUGAUAGUUUCCAGGUUUCCCCACUGCUUUUUAGAAAGUCCUACAUGUCUGGAUUAUUUUUAUGAGAAAAUAUGUCUUCUUCAGUCACUCAUGCUUUUCUACAAUCCUAUUGCAUUAUAUAAUAGAUGCAUUGACCUAGACACCUUUGAAACAAAAGAGUGAAUUUUAGGCUAACUUCCCAGCCCUUAAGGCAUGAUGCCUUUAAAUCCUAUAGACCAUAGGAUAGUCCUGUGGUUCAUGUCAUUCUCCCCUCUCUCAUGAACUAGUCAUAAAUGGUAGCCUCAAGAAGCUAAAUCAGUUUUAUAUAAAGGGAAUCCAAAACAAUAUGGUUAUAGAGAAAAAAUGUGUAAAUGGCAACACCAACAUUGUGACAAACAGCCAUAAAAGAAAGAAAGUAAUAUGGCUUUCUCACAUGAUAAUAUGGUCAUGGAAACAAGAAAAUAAAAAUAGAAUAAAUAGCUCAAAUUAUAUAGCAAUAUAGAUAAAACUUAAGUUUCCCCUUUCUUAGAGGAAUGUCAUCCAAGUUAUAACCAAAACUUAGCAACAUUUUCUUCACAUCAUCCUUGGUUUUUCAUGUAGUUUUAUCUAUGGAAUAACAAUUCUAUUAAACCAAUAACUCCUAAGUUGUUUUAUGGCAUGUUUUCACCAAUUUUUGAGCAAAAAUAUUAGAUCAUCCUUAUCAACAUUAAUCUUUAAGAUUUGGAUAAUGGAUUGAUCCAUGAUAUCACCAGAGUGUUAACAUGCUUUAAGCUUGCUUAUAUGGAAUAUUGGAUAAAUUUUCAAACUAGUUAACAAGUCCAAAGUGUAAACAAAAUCCUUCAUGCACUAUAAAAUUGUCCAAGGCCCACAAUACUAUAGAGAUAAUUUAAUAUUGCCACUUUGUUAUGCAUUUGACAAUUUAAGGAAAACUUUGUCCCCAACUUUAUACUUCUAAUGAUGAUAAUGCUCAUUGUCUUAUGUCUCAUAUUCAAUUUUGCCAACUUUUGUAUAUCCUUCAAGAAAUCACAAAUAUGAGACAUCCGAACCAAAGCUAAACUCAAACUCAUAGGAGACCUAUGUUUAUAGCCAUACAUCACCAUGAAUGGAGACAUGCUAAUAGACAAUUAAUAAGUGCUAUUGUGAGCAAAUUUGAGCAAAAACAAAUACUUUUCUUAUACUUCCUAGCAAAUCAAGUUUGCCAUAAAAGAGAUUAAUAUAUCUUCUAACAAUUGAUUUAUAUGCUAUGUUUGCCCAUAUGACUAUAGAUGUUUACCACUAUUUAUACUAAGUUUAGCUUCUAGUUUCUCAAAUACUAUUUAUCAAAUAAACUUGCUAAACCAAUCACUUAUAUAUCACUUAACAAACCAUAGAAACUAAAUAAUUAGUCUACAAACAGCUGAGCAAAUUCAAGAGCUUUAAUUGCCAUCUUCAUUAGGAAAAAGUGAAGAUUAUUUUCAUCAAAUGAUCUACAACUACCUAAAUAGCAUCAUUUCCAUGAAAGGCUUUGGGCAAGCUAGUGAUAAAGUUCAUCAAAAAUGUUAUUCCAUUUAUCCUUUGAUACAUAUGGAGGAUGAUAAAGGUUAAUAAACUUCUGAUGAUUAUAGUAGGUUAAACAACCAUGUAUAUACUUCUCAACAUCUAACUUCAUCCUAGGUUAAACUAAAUGCUUCUUCACCAACAUAUAAAUUCCCCCAGAUGCCUAACACUUAGCAUAUCAUGACACUCAAUAAAAAUUUGUUUAAUGAAUUUAUCAACACAAGGAACCACCACACAUCCCUUCUUCAUUAGGAUUCUAUCUUAUAUCUCAAAUGAUACAUUUGUCACCCUUCAAAUCUAUAGAGGUGUCCCUUGAAAAAGCCUUCAUAUGAAUAUCGGUGAUAAAAGAGUCAAAGUCAGUAAACUCCUUAAGUUCAUCCAAAAGAUUUUUGGAUAGCUUCAUGAACAAAAUAAAAUUCAUCAUCUUAAAUAAUGCAUCAGCCACUUUAUUUUCACCACCAAUAGUGAUAUCUUUAGAGGACAUAGCAAGGAUGACUCCAAAGCAAAGGCAACUAUAUCAAAAGCAAUAUGAGGAAUUUGAGUAGAAAGAUAUUCUCAAGGUGAUGAAUGUCAUAUUCAAUAGAAAUGUGACACACUCUUCAACAAUAGAACUGUUAAUGGUUAAGAGUGGUAGAGAUGAGUAGUUUUUGACAGAUGGUGAAUUGCAAGCAAGGAGAUCAAGAAAAAGCUCAUGAUUACAAUAAGAAGAUGAUUCUUUUCAGUGAUAACCUUCAAAGUAUGAAGUUGGGUUUUUUAAAUGCCAUUGGAACUUUGUUGAUUCUUGGAUUGAAUGAAAAGUUUCAGAAGGCCAGAUUAGAGCUCCAGACAACUCACACACAACCAAAUCUUGAUCAAGUCAUCACCAACAUUCAUCAUUAUAUAAAUUUGAGUGACAUUUUUUAUGAUAAAAACAACCUUGGAAGAUAGUAAGGACUAGUAGAAAGAAAAGGAGAUUGAUGGCUUUAGUUGCAAGAAUGUUAAAGUGCUUCUCCAAUAAAUGAUUCAAGACGUCUGGGAAUUCAAUGGAGCAAACUUGCAUGAAGCACGGAAAUUUGUAAUGAAUGUUGUGGGUUUAAACAUCUUCCAAUUCUCUAAGUUCACAAGAUGAUUGUAAAUGUAAAAUACUAAUUGCCACUCUUGCAAUAAUAGACUACAAUGAACAUGAUGAUUUCUUGGAAGAUAUUUUAAGUUUUGAGGACUUAUCUAGUUUUCACACAAAUGAUGCUGAGAUUGGGAAGUGUCAGAAUUUAAGUUAGCUUCUGGAUAGUGGAGCUACACACCUCAGAUAGAGCUCUCUUUUGUCAAAUAAGAUAUAGGAAGUUCUUAAUGUCUAUAAGUAUUGGAAGUGGUGAGGAUUUAUGAAUAAUUGCUUUUGGUACAAUCUAUUUUCCCAUUUUCAGUCUUGAGAUUACUAAUGUUUUAUAUGUCCCGAAGCUUGUUCAUCAUCUUUUAUCUAUCUCUUUAGAACAAGGAAUCUAUAUGUUUUUUCAUAUGACAAGGUUCUCACUUAUCUUUUUUUAAUGCUCCUUGAACCUAUACACUGAAGGACUUAAAUUCACAAUGUCCAAGCCUGCCCCUUUAUUUCCACCUUUUCCACCAACAGAACCCGACCCAACGAGUGUAUGGACUUCGUCUAUAAGAAGUAUAACAUUGCCUGGUGAUAUCAAGCAUGUCAGAUACAGCAUUCUAAGUAUAAAUAACGGAAAACUUCACCUGCUUUUCGCGUUUUCUCUAUGAGGCGUGUAACCCGAAAUUCUAGUUCACCCCGCUCCUUAGCUCCAGCAAGAAGCAAUCCCAUAUCCAGAGACAUCACUCGCUUCCCCUGUAUGCGCAAGCAAGAAUAAGUAAACUUCACCGCAGUUUAAAAAAUCUACUCACCGUGAGAAACUCUGGAACGUUUCCACUCGCAAUACGUAUGGGAAGGCCUUCAACAAUCGCUGUCUUGCCAACGCCAGGCUCUCCAAGCAAGAUGGGAUUGUUUUUUGUUCUUCUUCCUAGAAUCUGUACAACUCUUUGCACUUCACUGUCUCGGCCAUCAAUUUUCCCGUCACUAGCACGUAAGGUAAGAUCCACACAAAAAUCGUUGAGAGCACCUUUUUCUAGAAGACGGCGAGGUAAGACGACAAGCAUCGAAAGCAAACUAAUAAGUAAAGAGCGAACCUUUUCUACCAGGCUUCAAUAAAUUCACAACGUCCAAGCCUGCCCCUUUAUUUCCACUUCUUCCACCAACGAAGGCCGAGCCAACGAGCAUAUGGACUUUGCCUCUAGAAGUAUAACGUUGCCUUGUGAUAUCAAGCAUGUUAGAUAUAUCAUUCUAAGUAUAAACAAACCAAAAAACAACUUUACCUGCUGCUCGUGUUUUCUCUAAUUCACCACGCUCCUUAGCCCCAGCAAACAAUUCCAUAUCCAGAGACAGGGCUCACUUCUCCUGUAUGUGCCAGCAGAAACAUGUAAACUUCACUGCAAUUCUAGAACGCUUCUAUGGCAAGGCCUUCAGCAAUCGCUGUCUUGCCAACGCUAGGCUCUCCAAGUAAGAUGGAAUUGUUUUUUGGUUGUACAACUCUUUGCAACUUCAUUGUCUCGGCCAUUGAAAAGAUCAAUUUUCCGUCACUAGCAUGUCCACACAAUAAUCGUUGAGAGCGGUAAGACGACAAGCACCAAAAGCAAACAAAUGAGUACCUUUUCUAUCAGGACGUUUGCUUGAAGAGGCUGGCAGACUCACAGUAUUCUUCCGUCCUUGGCAAGUAGUUUCAGCUUUUAGCUUUUGCUUUUUCAAUCCAAGCCUGAAAGAAACAGUUGAGGCACACUCAAUAAACCAUUUCUAUCUAUCACGUAUUUGUCAAUAAUCUUAGUACGUCAUAUGCUCUGGGGUGAUGUAGUUCUUCUUCGACUGCUCCAGAGCCGCCUGAUGGUGACGCCAGACGACCUCCAUUCCUCUUCUUGGCAAUCAAGAUUACAUCGCGGCCGUGCUCGAAAAUACGCGCCUGGUGCAUGGUCAUAGAUGAAAUCCAGAGUUUCCGGAUUGGAGCUAUAAAAUUAAAGUCCAACGGCCUCGAAUCAUCAUUAUGUCCUGAUCUAAUUGUUCUUUUCUUUUUACCUCUAAAUUCAUUCAUUCAUUCAUGUUACUUGUUUACAAGGUUUCCACCAAGAAUCAUGACACCAAUGGAUUCAAGUAUGCAAGUGUGACAAUUGGUCUAUUUGUCAUCCAAUUUCGUCAGCAUCGAUGUUGUCUGCCUCGUCCCUUGUAGUGGAUGCUGUUUCAGCUGGCAUUGCCCUGUUUGGUUGUGGAUGGACGCGAGUGCUGGAUUCCUCACCUUGUCCCUUGUAGUGGAUGUGGUUUGGUUGUGGGCGCCAGAGCGACAAGUUUCCUCGCUCACCCUGCGGUUGCGGCUACUUUUAUAGUUCUAAAUAUGUAUAUUAAGUUCUUUUUUAUUUAUGAAAUAGAACAUAAUAUUUUCUUUUGAUUAUUUUCAUUCAUUGGUAUAUAUGAAUGAGUAUAUUUCAUUCCUGGUACUAAUACUGGUUUAAACUUUUGUAAUUUUGCAUACCUUUGAAGUAUAUGUAGCAUAUAUUGAUAUACAUAAUCUGUUGAGAGUUGUUCUUUCAAAAAGUUCUGACCACAUUUUCCAACCAUAGCAGCCUUUUAAGUAAAGAAAUUUGUUAAACUUAAAUACAAUUAUAUUAGAAAACCAACCUUAUAGAUAUUAGAAUUACUCCAUUGUAUGGCUUCUUGAAUAGAAUCACAAAUAUUUUCUCUAGUAAUUGGUAGAAAAUGAACAUGUGGAAGUAAAGACCUUGAGAAGAAAUCCCAAUAAUAUGGUUCAAUCCUUAACAUUGUUGAUCCACAUGACAAUAUAUACUUCAAACUCACUGACCAAGCAUUGCCUUCGGCAUAGAUUUUAUAUCUAGAAUUCAUAUAAGUUAACUGUUACACAAAAAUAAAUCUUACCUUGAGAAACACUGGUUGGACAAAUCAGAAUUGGUAAAAUUGGCCUUUUCUUCUGUAAUCCAAUCCUGAAAAAACAAAUCAAUAUAAUAAGUUGAUAAUUAUAGAUUUAUAAACCUGAUGUUGAAUUAGAAUAUUUGUAGAGUUGCACUUAACCAGAUUAGACCUUAUUAGUCCCAUUUGCGUAUUUCCUCUCCAAUAUGCAAUAGGUUUUCUUCUAAACCAAUCAAUCUUUUCGGCCUCUGUAAAGAUUCUUUCACUCUCAAUGCUCCAAGGAAGGAUAUUUACUUCUGGCCUGCAAAGACAAUCAACAAAAAACAUUGAAAAACUAGAGAAUUUACCAUCCCCAUAUAGACCAAUCUGGAAAGACAAUGUCAUAAUGCCGAUUUCUUGUUGUGCAAUACCCAAAAACAGGGGGAGGUGAUGUGAAGAGGUAACGCCAUCUGGGAACGAGGGGAUGGUCUUGGCAAUUAAACAUAAUAUCCACAUCAGGAACCAUUCCAGGGAACUUAUUCAACAACAUUGCCAAUCCCUUGAGUGUGUAUUCAGCCCUGGUUUGAAAGCACUGCUUGUAUGUCUGAGUAUAUAGCUUACCACCCAGAAUGAUCACCCUAAAAUAAGCCUUCUCCUUGCCAGCUUCAAGAGCUUUCCUAGUUAUCCCACCCUUCCAUGGUGCAAGAUCAUGUUCUAUCCACUUGAAAUAAGAGGGACAUGUUUGGUUACCCAAGAAGUGACAACUGUGAAUUCGUGCUCUAUGCUGUGGUGGAUUUGAUUCAGUAAAUGAUAGCAAAAGUAGUGACGCUCCUAAGGCAACAACGCAAAACCAACCAAGAACGAGCUUAGACAUCUUAGAACCCUAUAUUAAAUCGGCAAACUGUUAAAAUAACAGGUGAAAGAUUUAGGGCUCCAAAGACUCGAAGAAUCCUGGCGGAAUUAUGGCAUGCUGCGACGCUGUGAUCGAUCUCUCUUUCAGAUCCGGGUCUCUCGGCAUCCACAUUCGCUCUUCGCGAUGGCGCUCCAAGAGAAAGAAGCUGUAAGUUUGAUUUCCUCCCUCGAUGAUGCGUGCUUGAUGAUCUUCUUUGUAGCGUGUGAGUCACGAGGAGCCGGAUGUGGUUCCUGUUGUGAUUUUCGCACUGAAAGCGUGCAGCAGCUUGAGAGAUUUAGAGACCGGGACGAUUAUCCACGCUCAUGCCAUCGAAUCCAGUCAUGAUUCUUGCAGCAUUCGUGUGGCCAGCAGCCUGAUUAAUAUGUAUGCGAAGUGUGGAAGCAUGGCGCUCGCGAGGGCCGUGUUUGAUGCCAUGCCAACGAUUCGCGACGUUGUCUCGUGGACUACUAUGAUUGCCGGGUAUGCCGAGAAUGGGGAAAUUGAUUUGGCAUUCACUCUCUUUUCUACCAUGCAACAGGAAGGCUGUGCUCCAAACGAGCGGACUUUCACUGCUGUUCUCAAGGCGUGCGCGGGGCUGGCGUCGAGAGAAAGAGGCCGAGAACUCCAUGGAAAGAUUUGGAAGGUGAAAAGUCUGGAGAGGGGCAGGGCUCUUCACUUGCAAGCAGCGAGCACUGGAUUCGAGGGGGAUGCUUUCGUUUGUAGCAGCGUGGUGGAGAUGUAUGCAAAGUGUGGGAGCUUGGUCGAUGCGAAGGCAGUGUUCGACAGGAUGAGCUCGCCGGACAUCGUGGCCUGGACAGUUUUGAUGCUGGGAUAUGUCGAGAACGAAGAGGAAGAUCUGGCACUGGAACUUCUGGCGUCCAUGAAAGAGAACGCGCGGUGCGCUCCAAAUGCUCGAACGUUGUCAGUGGCUGUGAAGGCCUGCACGAGUCUGGCUUUGAAAGAAGAGGGACAGGUCGUCGCUGGCACAAAACUCGUCAAACUAGCUUCUCUGGAGAAAGGAAUGUCGGUUCACAGUGAAGCCGUCAAGACUGGCUGGAUCUCGGAGAGUUUUCUGGCAACCAGCCUUGUGGACAUGUAUGGGAAGUGUGGUACACUGCUGGAUGCACGCAUGAUAUUUGAUAAGAUGGACUCCAGCAAUGUGGUAUCGUGGAACUCACUCAUCCUCGGCUAUGUAGAAAACGAUGAGGAAGAUUUGGCUCUUGCUGUUUUCAAGUCUAUGGAUGGUUUCUGCGAGCUCGAUUCUCGAACGUUUGUUGCUGCAACGAAGGCUUGUAGCAACUUGGCAGCCAAAGAACAGGCGAGGAAACUUGAUGGAAAGCUGGUGAAGGUAAGGUCUUUGGAGAAGGGCCGUGAAGUUCAUGGCUUAGCGGGGAGCUGUGACAGGGAUGCAUUCCUGGGAUCUGCUUUGGUGGAGAUGUAUUCUCAGUGUGGAAGCUUGGUUGAUGCAUGGAGAGCCUACGGGGAGAUGAGUUAUCCUGAUGUUGUGGCGUGGACUACUUUGAUCCUGGCUUAUGCUGAGAAUGGAGAAGAAAGCCGGGCUCUGGAAGUUUUCGAGUUCAUGAAGCCGGAAGGUUGCGAGCCAGACUCGGGGGUUUUCAUUGCUGCAAUCAGAGCUUGUGGGAGACUAGCCGAGAAUUGUUUACCAGGCAGCAAGCUGAAGGCUCUUGAGAAAACGAUGAUGGUUCACUCUCAAGCUUUGAGGUACUCCUUGGACUUGAGCAUCUUCUUCGACAACACGCUCGUGGACACUUAUGCAAAGUGUGGGAGCUUGGAAGAUUCACGCAGGGCAUUCGACAGGAUGUCUUCUCACAGCGUGGUUUCGUGGACUGUUUUGAUGGCCGGCUGCGUGGAGAACGGGAACGAAGAACUGGCCCUGGAACUUUUCUCAGUCAUGGGAGUUGAGCCCGACGCGCAGUCUUAUGUUGCUGCAUUGAACGCAUGCAUUGCUCUUGCUGUAGGAGAGCCAGGGAAGCAUGUCGACGAUGGAAAGGCUGUGAAGCUACGAGCUCUAGACAGAGGCAUGGCUAUCCAUUCUCAAGCAGCAGCCGGGUGCUGGGAGGCAGACUUUUUUGUUAGCAGCACCCUGGUGGAGUUAUAUGCGCGGUGUGGAAAUAUGCUCGAUGCCAGAAUGGUCUUCGACAGGAUGCCAUGCCAUGAUCUCGUCUCCUGGAACACGUUAAUUCUCGGUUAUGCCGAGAAUGGUGAGGAAGAAUUUGCUCUCAAGCUAUACCUUGAGCUCCAGGAAAACGAGGAGCUCUACUCGGCUGAUGCGCAAACUUUCGCCGCUGCUCUCAAGGCCUGUAGCAAUCAGGUGGAUUUGGAAACAGGGAGAAGGCUGCACAGAGAAAUUUGCAGAGCUGGGGAUGAAAACGAUGAAGUUCUAGCUGCUUGCUUGGUGGAUUUGUAUGGCAAGUGUGGAAGCACGAUUAAUUCUCGGCUGGUCUUUGACUCUACGCCCGGAGAAGACAUGGUAAGCUGGAACGCUCUGUUAGCAUCUUACGCUCGUCAAGGGGAUUCUGACGAGGUUCUCGGUCUCUUUCACAGGAUGCAAGACGAAGCUCUUGGAGCUGAUGGUAUUACUUUUGUCUCAGUUUUGACGGCAUGCAGUCAUGCUGGCCUUGUCGAGCGGGGCACUCGCUACUUUGAGGAAAUGAUGUCCAAGUAUGGUGUAAAACCCGACAUUGAUCACUACCACUGCGUGGUUGAUCUUCUCGGCCGAGCCAACCGGCUGGAUGAGGCUGUUGCCAUGGUGAGAAGGAUGCCUUUUGAGCCGAGUUCACUGACUUGGAGGACUGUGCUAGGUGCUUGUGGCAAGUGGAAAAACUCGAGCAUCGGGCAGCUAGCGUUCGAGUCACUGCUGGAGCUUGGUGAUGAUCGAGAUGUUGCAGCAGCCUAUUUAUUGAUGGUGAAAGCCCGAUGAAGAUAUAGUUUUUGCAACCUUGACUUUGUCACGCAAGGAUAUUUUCCGACUUUGUCAAGCGUCCAUCUUAAAAUACACUAGAAAAGAAGUGACAUUUCAGCCAGGCUGAAAGAAGGCUCUCAUUUACUCUCAUCCUUUCAGAAGCAGAAGGCAGUAUGGCGCCUAGCACCAUGAGUGAAGAUGCUCAAGGCCACUUUGAUCUCAAGAGCAUGAUCUUCUCGCUGGUGACUCCUUUCAUGCUCAAGGCUGUGGUGCUGCUCGGCAUUCCCGAGAUGAUCUCCAAGGCAGGCCCGCUCUCCCUCAAGCAGAUCGUGUCACGUCUCUCAAAUGUCAAGAACUUUCAGCCGGACCUCCUCGAGAGAAUCCUCCAGUUUCUGGUCCACAAGCGGGCACUGAGCGAGAAGAUCGACGAGAAAGAUGGAGAAACGUACUACGGCCUCACUCCAAUCUCAAAGUGGCUCGCGGAAGAGCACCAUCUCCUGCUCUUGUGCACGCACGAGUAUCCCAUGGCCGCGUUCCAAAAGGUGAACGAAGCAGUGCUGGAUGGAGGCCACGCUUACGAGAUGGCCAACAAAAGUCGUGUUUGGGAGCACGACCCCGGCCACGGCGACGAGUACGUGAAGCUGCUCAACGAUGCUAUGGUCGCUUGGAGCAGCGUCACAAUCUCCCUCGUCCUCGAGCACUACGAUGGAUUCAAAGACGUGAAGAAGCUCGUGGAUGUUGGCGGUGGCCUUGGAAUGUGCAUGGGCAAGAUUGUGGAGAAGUAUCCCCACAUCGAAGGUGUCAACUUUGAUCUCCCUCACACCGUUUCGAGCGCUCCAGCCUUUCCCGGUAAGAUUCAAGACACAUCUUCUUUUGAUUUCUUCAUGUUUUUUCUUAACAGGUGUUGCUCAUGUGGGAGGCAACAUGUUUGAGAGUGUUCCAAGUGCUGACGCUCUUCUUAUCAAGGUACUCUGUCUUCUUUUCCUUGAGGUUGUGAUCGUCGUGGUGUUUCUUCAGUCUGUUAUCAUCAAUUUUAGCGACGAGGAUUGCCUCAAGAUGCUGGCGAAUUGCUACAAAGCUCUGCCACGAGGAGGCAAACUGAUAGUGAUCGAGCUCAUAUACUCCAAGGAGGGACCAUUCGAGAUGGACCUGGACAUGAUUAUGAUCGGCUUCACCGACGGUGGCAAGACCAGGCGAUUUGAAGAACACAAAGCGCUGCUCGAGAACAGUGGCUUUGGCAACGUUUCCCUCGUGGCCGUUCCUUCCAAGGAGCAAGUUAUAGAAGCUUACAAGCUCUAAACAAAGUGAAUGAGAUGUUUGUGCUAGUUGUAUUUUAGAGUUUAUUGUCGCCGUUGACAAUAUGGACUGCUCCAGUGUUGAAGCGAGCAUCAUCGAUAAAAAUAAAAGAGUUUGAGGCUUGGAUAAUAUUCUUCCUGGAGAUUUUGCCGCUUGGGGAUAGGUGGCCUAAACCAUGAAGAAUUUCGCACUCUGGACGCGUGACCGACGCCAUGGAGUGCUUGGUAUGUCAACUGCUGCUUAACUUUUGUGACAACUAUAGCAUAUGGAUACGGUGAUGUUGGCUCGAAUCAGGAGUGUGUCAUUUCAUCGUCUUACAUCGAUCAUUGCUGAAUGAUAGAGAUGUUGCAGCAGUUUCCUCGUUUGAUUAUUUUGCGGUAGCGAAGACUUACAUUUAUUUAUAGAUCUUUCGACACAACAUGGCCUCAAAUGGCCAUAUGACAUUCUGCCUUGACUCUACAUUGACUAUGUUCACUUUGAAUUGACUUUAUUUUACUUUCUUGAGUGCCGGUGACAAAAAUUUGCAGAACUGGGGAUGAAACCAAUGAAGCUCUCGGUUGGUCUUCGACUCUACGCCCGGAGAAGACAUGGUAAAACGCUCUAGCAGCUUCACGAAGUUUUCAGCCUCUUUCAUAAGAUGCAAGACGAAGCGUUUGGAUUACUUUCGUCUCAGUUUUACUGGCGUUGGGCAGCUAGCAUUCAAGUCACUGCUGGAGCUUGAUGAUGAUCAAGAUGAUGCAGGAGCCUAUUUAUUGAUCGUGAAAUCCCGAUGAAGAUAUAGUUUUUGCAACCCUGACUUUGUCACGCAAGGAUAUUUUCCGACUUUGUCACGCUGUUCUGGCAGCGUGGACCUUAAAAUACAGUAGACAGGGAAGUGACAUUUCAACCAGUCUUAAAGAAGGUUCUCAUUUACUCUCGCCUUUCAGAAUCAAUAGGCAGUAUGGUGCCUGGAUCUAGCACCAUGAAUGAAGAUGCUCAAGGCCACUUUGAUCUCUCUUCUCGCUAUCGUGUCAUGUCUCUCGAACGCGAAGAACUGUCAGCCGGAUCUCCUCGAGAGACUCCUCCAGUUUCUGGUCCACAAGGGGGCACUGAGCAAGAAGAUCGACGAGAAAGAUGGAGAAACGUACUACGGCCUCACUCCAAUCUCAAAGGGGCUUGCGGAGGAGCAUCAUCACCUGCUGCUAUGCACGCACGCGCUGAAUGGUGCUGAAGGUGCACGUCCUAAAGGUGGUGCUGAAUGGAGGCCACGCUUACGAGAUUGCCAACAAAUGUCGUGUUUGGGAGCACGACCCUGGCCACGGCGACGAGUACGUGAAGCUGCUCAACGAUGCUAUGGUCGCGUGGAGCAGCGUCACCAUCUCCCUCGUCCUCGAGCACUACGAUGGCUUCAAAGACGUGAAGAAGCUCGUGGAUGGUGGCCUUGGAAUGUGCAUGGGCAAGAUCGUGGAGAAAUAUCCCCACAUCGAAGGUGCCAACUUUGAUCUCCCUCACACUGUUGAGAUCCAGCCAUUCCCGGUAAGGAUUAAAGUUUUGUUUCUGAUUCCUCCAUGUCUUUAUGCUUUUUUAGGUGUUACUGCAAAUAUGUUUGAGAGUGUACCAAGUGCUCAUGCUCUUUUUUAUCAAGGUUGCUCUUUGUUUUGAUCAUUGGUGUUUCUUCAGUCUACUUUGCUCAAUUUUAGCGACGAGGAUUGCCUGAAGAUGCUGGCGAAUUGCAACAAAGCUCGGCCACGAGGAGGCAAAAUGAUAGUGGUCGACCUUAUGUACUCCAAGGACGGAGCUGGACCUACACCGACGGUGGCAAGACCAGGCGAUUUGAAGAACACAUGGUGCUGCUUGAAAAAAGUGGCUUUGGCAACGUUUCCCUCGUGAACGUUCCGUCCAAGGAGCAAGUUAUUGAAGCUUACAAACUGUAAAUAAACAAUGUUUUGUGUUUAAUAUACAUUUUUCAACAAAAAGGUGAGUGAAGAUCAAGCACAAUAUAACAUUGAAUUGUUCAUUCAUCAUAGAAUUUACAUUUCAAAACAUGGGUGACCUUGUUGGGAUACCUUUCCUUGCCCGCUUUCUAAAUCCUUGAAGAGCAGGAGCUUGACGCUUGUCAUGCUCGACAGUAUUACAAGGGGCACUAAACACAUGUACUGCUUCGUCCAUUCUCCUCCUCGCACAAACUUGCUCAAUGGAGCUUUGCUCUGGCUGCUUUCGUUUCCUGUUGGAUGGAGCCUUUUUCGCCUUGGGAGCCCUAGGUCGAUCCUUUGGCUUGACCUUAACGACCCGGGCUUGAUGAUCGUUGAGCUCACUUCUCGGUUGCAUUCGUUGUGCAUCACCAUCUGGGGCGACCUCGCCAAAAGGUGGCGGAAUGUUCUUCUCCUGACCCUGAUCGACUUGGGCCUGCUGAUGCGCGACGAACCCUUCACACUGGAGCUUGCAGUAGAGCGAGCAGUAGAGAGCUCCGUGCAGCACCCUCUUGCAGUGGCGGCAUAGUACCGAGUUUUGCACCUCUAUUCCUCGGGGCCUGGCGUGGAGAUAAAAGAUUGGGCCUCCGUUGAUGGUAAACGUCUCCAGCCCCGACGUAUCGAUGAGGCGCUCCGCUUCACACGCCUUGACUGCAGUAAGGCGGCCUGAGAUUACGAUCUGCAAAGCGUUUCGGGAGUCGCAAGUCCGGUGAUCCUUUUUGCAUUCUUGACACAGGGACACUAAGCACUGCUUGCAGAAGAAGCUCUUCUUGCGUUUCCCGGAUGUGCAGUUGGCGUGGAGUUCACACACUGUGAAGAAGUCCGUCACGUUCAACAGAGCUUGCAACCACGACGCCAUAACUCUCGUAAAGGAAAAUGUGUCUUCCCUUAGGUCUCCACUGUUUAGAUGCUCGUGUUUAAGUAGUUCCUUUUGGUAACUUAGGAAAAUCACCUUUAGGUCGUGGUUACAUAAAAUGUUUCCCUGAAUUAAUGCAUCAGCCGGGAGUCGAACCCGGGUCUAUUGCUUGGAAGGCAAUUAUCCUAACCAUUGGACUACUGAUGCUUAAUGCAUUUGGUUAAAACUCUUACCUUAACUGCCGGCUUAAAAAGUCUUAACAUAAUAAAGCUCAUAUUUAGCUUGAACCAAAUGUUAUGCUCCUCAGGAAUGAGAGGAAACGAGCGAGAUCUCUUCUCGAUCUGACUGGAAGCUCUUUCUCCUCCGAAUCAUUCGAUUGGAAAGAAGCUGCAAGAGCCAUCAAAGUCGCCGGCGCAGCCAGGGACCUCGCCCGCUCUCGAAUCAUCCACGCCCAAAUCAGCGCGAGCAAGACUAACAGAGGCGAUCGAUUCCUACUCAAUCUCCUCAUCGAGAGCUAUGGAAAAUGCCACAGCGCUGCCGACGCAUUGGCGGUGUUCCAAUCGAUGCCAAUGCCCAACACAUUCUCCUAUAAUCUCCUUAUUACAGCAUUUGCCCAGGCCGGGCAUUUGGAGGAGGCCAGAUCCACGUUCGAGGAGCUCCCGCUCAAGAGCGUGGUCUCAUGGACGGCCAUGAUCACUGCCUACGCCAAUGUCGGACACGUGGACCUCGCGCGAUCGUUCUUUGAUAGAAUGCCACAGCCCAAUCUCGUUUCCUGGACCGCCAUUCUCCAGGGCUAUGCCCUAGCUGGGGAUCUCGAGGGCGCGCGCCAGAUCUUCUACUCCAUGCCGGAGGAUCGCGAUGCCGUGGCUGUCAACGCGAUGAUCGUCGCCUACGCGGACAGCGGCCACACGGUCGAGGCGCGGGGCUUGUUCGAUGGGAUCGUCCAGGGCAGGGAUUUGGUUUCUUGGAACACGAUGAUCCAGGCGUACGCGACGAGCGGGCGAGUGGAAUCCUCGCGAUGGAUCUUUGAGAGAAUGCCGGCCAGGGAUGUGUUCUCGUGGACGGCGCUGCUCACCGCGAACGCCCAGGUGGGUGGAGCGGUGGAGUGCCGCCGGAUCUUCGACACCAUGCCGGGGAAGAAUCUGGUCUCGUGGAAUGGGAUGCUGCUGGGUUACAGCCAAUCCGGCCAGGCGGAUCUCGCGAGAGUCUUGCUCGAGAGAAUGCCGUGCUGGGACGAGAAUUCGUGGAACACGGUGAUUACAGCGCUUGGGCAGGGUGGAGAGAUGGACGCCGCAAGGGAUCUGCUAGAGAAGUACCAGGAUUUGGGAAGCGUGGUGGUGUGGAGCGCGCUUGUCAAGGGAUUUGCCUUGAAUGGGUAUCUUGAAGAGGCUGAGAAGCUCUUCCACUCGAGGCUGGAUCUAGACACAGUGGCCUGGACGUCGAUGCUCGCUGCUUACGCGCUCAAAGGGCUGAUGGACAGAGCUAGAGAAACUUUCGAUCGAAUGCCCAGCAAGGACUUGGUAGCGUUCACAGCCUUGAUCCAAGGAUAUGCCCAGAGCGGGCAUAUUGCCGAGGCUCGUCGUGUCUUCUCACGGAUGCCCAAGAACAGUGCUCUCUCUUGGACAACGAUGAUUCAAGCGCUCGGACAGGCCGGCCAGCUCCAGGAAGCUCGGAUACUCUUCGAUGCCACUCCCCAGCAGUGUGUGAUCGCCUGGACAACGAUGAUCCAAGCCUAUGCUAGCAGCGGCAUGGACGAUGAGUCUCUGGAGCUCUUCCGGCUGCUGGAUCAAGCUGGGCUGAGGCCAAACACGAUCACUUAUCUGGGAGUUCUAACUGCUUGCUCUCACGCUGGGCUCGUCGACGAUGGCCAUUACUACUUCGUCUCCAUGUCCAGGGACCAGGAGAUUGUUCCGAGCGUGGAGCAUUUCCACUGCAUGGUGGACAUCCUUGCUCGGUCUGGGCGCGUGAGCGAUGCCGUGGAGCUCGUGCAGAGUAUGCCUUUUGUGCCCGACUCCAUGGCAUUGACAACGCUGCUCAAUUCUUGUCGAGCGGAUGGUGAUGUUGGUCGUGGAGCCUCAGUUGCAGAGUCACUUCUUAGAAGCCAUCCGGAGAACACGUCGGGAUACUCGCUUCUGGCAGGGAUUUUUGCUGGAGCUACAGAGGAGGCCUGAGAAUUUCGGAAGAAUCAAGUAAGAGAUUGAUUCAUAUUUGGCUUCUAAAACUUGGUUUUUCUUUCUUCCAGUGGCUAGUUGCUUUGCUUGGCUUCUAGGUGCAUGGUAAGAAAGUUUUUUUUCUUUCUUUCGUUCUUAUAAGUUUUUAUGCUGUUACAGGAGGUCGCUUUCUAGAAGUAAGAAAAAAUCAACGGUAUGUUUGUCUAGAAGUUUUGACUGAGAUUUUUUUUUGUUGUGGCUAUGGCCGUCUCUGUACAGGGCUCAGCGCUAGGACAAUUGCGUCUUGGGAGCGCAAUUGUGACACCAAAAGGAUCAAAACUUUGCUUCACUUCAUUGCGUAAAUUUUCUCCAAAGGCCGCGCUUGCUGAGAAACCAGCACCAACAAAGGUACAUUUCCUCCUUCUAGUUCCCAACCAAGCUAGUUGUAGCUGUUUGUUAGACUGGAUCUUGGUCGUGGAGGCACAACAAUUCCUCCUUGAAAAUCAAUUUUGUCGAGCAAUCCAGUGUUGGAGACAAAUGCCUGCUACUACUUCCAACUGUGUCGGACGUGAGCACCACGGAAGAAUGGAAAGCCGUGUCUCAAGAUAUCGUCACAAAGGACAGUUCGUGGAGGUCUGUGAUUGUGGAUUGGCCGGGAUUUGGCCUCUCGGACAGGCCAGCGAUAGACUACACUGCUGAUACCUUGGAAAAGUUCCUCGUAGACUUUGUCAUGGCUCAAGAUGGACCUCUUGGAAGCACAACAGGUCAGUGUACAUUUUUUUCUUUGCUCUAGAACUCUAGUGCAAGAGUUAACUAGUUUCUUAUACUCCAGCUCCAGUGAUUGCCGGAGGUGGUCAUGCUGCAACCAUUGCCGCAAAGGCCAUCGCCGGAGGAAAGAUAAAUGCCCGAGCUUUGGUUGCGGUAGCUCCAACAUGGGCCGGACCUUUGCCAAUUGUUUUCGGACAAAGUCCCGAUGCCGUAUCCAAGUAAGCAGUGCUUAGUUCCAAAGUCAUUCUUUUCUUUCUCAACUUUAUCGCUUUUGCCAUUGUUUACGCACAGGUAUGGAUUCCUUCGAGGAGCUUUGCGAGCUCCUGCCGUGGGCUGGGCUCUUUACAACGCACUCGUGAGCAGCCGGAGCAACAUACGAAAACAGUACGAAAGUCACGUCUACUCAGAGUCGAGCAACGUGACUGACGCCAUCGUCGAUAGCCGCCUCGCUCUCACCAAGCUCCCGGGAGCUCGCUACGCUCCUGCGGCCUUUCUCACUGGCCUGCUUGAUCCAGUGAAGAGCCGGGAAGAAUUUGUGGAGCUGUUUGGCGCUCUGGACGGGAAAGUCCCAGCGUUGGUCAUGGUUUCCACGGCCAGUCCGAGGCGCUCCAGAGCCGAGAUGGAAGCUCUCCGGGAUGCCAAGGGUGUGGCCAAGCUUGUGGAAAUUCCAGGAGCUCUCUUGGCACACGAGGAGUUCCCUGGACGAGUUGCUAGUGAGCUCUAUGAAUUCCUCUCAAAUCUAUGAAUUGGAAGUUUGGCCCAUAAAGUUUCUCUCAUAUCAUGUGUCAAACAAAGAGUUCCUCGCUAAUCUAUGAAUGAAAGUUUCCUCUUUGAUAGUUUCUGCCAAUAGUUUUCUCGAUCGUGUCAAGCAAUGAGUGACUUGUGUCCAUCGUGAUCUCAUAUUCUUCUUCUCGUCAACAAUUCAUUGACUUUGCCAUAAUCAACUAGUGUUGACCAUAGUUAUACCACCUUUCAUAGAGGUUUCUAACGAACACAGCAAUGCAGCUACGUGGUGCUAGUCUUUGCAUGCAACACAUAUACUCAUAAGCCACGUGGUAAAUACACGCGACUUCUACUUUCGCCGGCGCGAAUAUUCGCUGGUGGCCACCCACAAUUUCCCGCUCUCGGACUACCUGUCGUGGCGAGUCCACAGCCGUCGGAUCUCCCAUCCAACGGCCCACAACACCCCGGCUGCACCCCUUGGUGAUCUGGUGUUCUUCCUCGCUGACUAGAAAAAUGCGCGGCGAGGGCGGCCAUUGUAGAGGAAGCGUGGACGCGAAGGAUCACAGCGCGUGGGGGUUGGAUUGCCGCUGCCGCCAUCGCCGCGACGACACCAGAUCGAGAGCACUCAACCGCAGUGGGGCCGAGGUUGGAUCUUCCUUCUUCCUGUUCCUAGGGUUUUGCAACGCGUCGAGUACCAGCAGUGGCCGCGCUCUCGUUUCUUGCUCGAGCCAAGCUCCAAUCCGGCUUCUCUCCAGGUGAAAUCUUGAGCCAGUCCCGUUGUGGCAAGGAUUUGAUCCAUGGCGAUGGCGGCCGCGAGCACGUCGAACACGAUUCACCAGGCGCGCAUUUUCGAGCACGGCAGCUCGUCCCCGCGAUGUAAUCUGGGCAGCCCCGUGUACUACCACAGCAGACCCCCUCCAUCGGCGGCAGCGGCGGCGCUGAGGAAGUCGAGCUGCGCGGCGUUCCUCCAAUCGCGCGGGUAUCAGCACGAAGGAUUGAGGAGGUGCUCCACCGCCAUCGAUUUCCUCCGCCCAGUUUCAUUCUCCGAGGGAUUCGAUCAGGCAGUCUCGAGUUCUUUGAUAGCAAGAAGUCCCGGCGAGGCUAGAGCUGGUUGCCGGGGCGUCGUGAGCGCGGUCUUUGAGCGAUUCACGGAGAGAGCUAUCAAGUCCAUCAUGCUCGCCCAGAGGGAGGCCAAGCUGUUUGGAAAGAAGGACGUGGGGACCGAGCAGCUGCUGCUGGGAUUGAUUGCCGAGGAGAGGAAUGGAGAAGGAUUUCUCGGGUCUGGCGUUACCAUCGACCGAGCCAGGGAGGCCUUGAAGAACUUGCUCCAGGAGAGCAAUCAAACGUUUGUCACGUCCGAUAAGCAAGCGUCCGAGAUUCCUUUCUCGAGUGGAAGCAAGAGGGUGUUUGAGGCGGCGCUGGAGCAGUCCAAGAAGAUGGGACAUAACUACAUCACCCCGGAGCAUAUAGCGCUUGCUCUUUUCACGGUGGACGAUGGGGGAGCUACAAAGAUUCUUGACAAGUACGUGAUAGAUAGUUAGAAAAUGGUUGAUUGAGUGUGGCUGACUCCGUUUUUGCGUGUUUCUUUCAGGCUUGGAUUGAAAACGCAAAAGCUACAAGCUGAGUCAAUCGUGAGACUACAGGGAGAACUUGCCAAGGACGGAAGAACACCGCCUCCUGCUAUGAGUUUGCCAGCCAAGUCUGGAGCUACAGCGGCUUCGUCAAGCAAGCGUCCUGGUAGAAAAGGUUCGCUCUUUACUUAUUAGUUUGCUUUCGAUGCUUGUCGUCUUACCACGCCGUCUUCUAGAAAAAGGUGCUCUCAACGAUUUUUGUGUGGAUCUUACCUUACGUGCUAGUGACGGGAAAAUUGAUCCUGUUAUUGGCCGAGACAGUGAAGUGCAAAGAGUUGUACAGAUUCUAGCAAGAAGAACCAAAAACAAUCCCAUCUUGCUUGGGGAGCCUGGCGUUGGCAAGACAGCGAUUGCUGAAGGCCUUGCCAUACGUAUUGCGAGUGGAAACGUUCCAGAGUUUCUCACGGUGAGUAGAUUUUUAAACUGCGGUGAAGUUUACUUAUUCUUGCUUGCGCAUACAGGGGAAGCGAGUGAUGUCUCUGGAUAUGGGAUUGCUUCUUGCUGGAGCUAAGGAGCGUGGUGAACUAGAAUCUCGGGUUACAAGCCUCAUAGAGGAAACGCGAAAAGCAGGUGAAGUUUUCCGUUUAUUUAUACUUAGAAUGCUGUAUCUGACAUGCUUGAUAUCACCAGGCAAUGUUAUACUUCUUAUAGACGAAGUCCAUACGCUCGUUGGGUCGGGUUCUGUUGGUGGAAGAGGUGGAAAUAAUGGGGCAGGCUUGGACAUUGCGAAUCUAUUGAAGCCUGCAUUAGCGAGAGGCGAACUUCAGGUAAAGAUAAUGUUUUCAGUGUUAAUAACGAUUAUGCUUACGCUUUUUUCUUCAGUGUAUAGGUGCCACAACACUCGACGAGCAUAGAAAACACAUUGAAAAAGAUAAAGCGCUAGCAAGGAGGUUUCAACCUGUUAUUGUAAAUGAACCUAGUCAGGUUUGUGUUGAUACUUGGUAUAUGUUGUUGUUGACGAUUUUUUUGGUUUGCAGGAAGACGCUGUAAAGAUUCUUUUAGGAAUACGUGAUAGAUACGAAGAGUAUCACAAAUGUAGAAUUACACAGGAAGCAGUUGAUGCGGCUGUAUAUUUGUCGUCGAGAUACAUAGCUGAUCGAUACCUUCCCGACAAAGCGAUUGAUUUGAUCGACGAGGCUGGCAGUAGAGCCCGAAUUGAUGCGUUUAAGCGCAGGAAAGAAGAGCGAGUCAGCAUUCUUUCCAAGACACCUAGCGAGUACUGGCAAGCAAUUCGGGCUGUCCAGGCUGCUCAAGAAGCUGUAAGUGACCUUUAUUUUGCUUGUCGUGCCGAAAGUUGUUCUAACAAUUCUUUUUCAGGCCUUUGUUCCGCAAAGUGCUCUUGGGGACUCGGAGUAUCUUAUUGAAAGUGCUGCAAACACUUUACCAAAGGCUGUAGAUAUCGACCAAGAGUCAGUUUCUUUACCUGUAAAUGAACUAAUGGAAGGGUAUGCACUACUUUUGUUUGUUCUCCGUUUCUUAAGCUUUGUUUCUGUCUGCAGCUCGGUGAUAGUUGGACCUUCAGAAAUAGCAGCUGUGACGUCCAUGUGGUCUGGUAUUCCGAUUGAGCAACUUACCUCGGACGAGCAACUGAAGCUUAUUAAUCUGGAGAAGUUGCUGCAAACGCGUGUUGUUGGCCAAGAUGAUGCAGUGAAUGCCAUAUCGCGAGCAGUUCGCAGGGCACGAGUCGGACUUAAGGAUCCAAGUCGGCCGAUCGCUGCCAUGCUUUUCUGCGGGCCAACCGGUGUAGGAAAAACGGAGCUUACAAAAGCUCUUGCUCAGCACUUCUUUGGAGCCGUAAGUCCUUUCAUACGCAUGCACAUAUGGCGCCUUACCACGGUUUUUUUCUUCCAGGAGGACGCCAUGAUAAGGUUGGAUAUGAGCGAGUACAUGGAGCGUCAUACUGUGAGCAAGCUUAUCGGUUCUCCUCCCGGAUAUGUUGGAUAUGGCGAGGGUGGAACGCUGACAGAGGCUGUUCGCAAGAGGCCCUUCACUGUUAUUCUCUUGGACGAGAUCGAGAAAGCUCAUCCCGAUAUCUUCAACAUGCUUUUGCAAAUUUUUGAGGACGGUCGCCUUACCGAUUCACAGGUAAAGCAUUUUCCGUAAUGCCUGUAAGCUGACCUGCUGGAUUCUACAGGGCCGCGUCGUCUCUUUCAGGAACUCGCUUUUGAUAAUGACAUCCAACGUUGGCUCCUCGGCCAUAGCAAGAGGAGGAAGCGGCAAGAUCGGUUUCUCGUUCGCGGAAGGUGGCGACGAAGACUACACAAACCUCAAAGGUCUGGUGAUGGACGAGCUGAAAAACUUCUUCAGGCCUGAGCUACUCAACAGAAUAGACGAAGUGGUUGUCUUCAGAUCGCUAGAGAAAGCUCAGGUGAGAGAUAAGUCUCUCAUCCCUUUGCGUACGUCGUAACACUUCUUUUGCAGGUCCGUGCCAUUGUUGACAUGAUGCUAGCCGAGACGAAAGAGAGGCUCGCCAAGCGAGGCAUCAAUCUGGAGGUGUCGGAAGCAGCCGUGAAGCUGGUUUGCGACGAGGGCUACGACAAAGCUUACGGAGCUCGUCCCUUGCGGCGAGCGGUCACCAGGAUCAUCGAAGACGCGGUGAGCGAGUCUCUCCUCUCGUCACACUACAGCGAAGGCGAUACAGCGCUGCUAGACCUGGACGCCAGUGGCAACCCGGUGGUAGUCCAGCACUCGAAACCAGAUAGGUGCGACCAUGGCUUGUGCGUCCAGGUGCGAGCUCCAGUCUCGGUUGCUUCCAGCUGAUCUUCACGCGUACAGAAAUAAGAUUCUUGUGAAGAUGAAACAAUACUGUGUAUAGAAUCUAUGGACGAAGAAGGAACCUAUGAAAUGGUACCUUGUAAUGGCUAAAUCGCGCAAAAUUGCAAAGAGAGAUUGAUGUUUUGUAAAGAAACGGUGGAAGGAUCAUUCGUGUUUUGAGCUUAGAUUGAGUGACAACCCCAUGCAACCAUAGUCCAAGUCAAUGCUGCUAAAAACUCUCUAAAGUGUUAAUUAUCAAGAUUCGAACCCCCGACGUGCUUUUUGCCCGAAGUGUUAACUGACUGGUCUAACCUGUUUUAUUGAGCUGGCGGAGCAAUAUUUGGGGUAUUUCUUCCGUAAAAGAUUUUCGCAUAAAGUCCUUGUUAAUUGGACCCUCGGCCGCCUCGAAGCCGGGUCAUCUACUUCCGGUCCACCUCUACACUUACCCGAUAACCAAUUCCUCAGCAACCGGGCUCGCGUUAAUUUAACAUCAUACCAUGUAGUUAACCGAUAUGGACGAGGAUUGGCCUCUUCCAAGAUGCUUGACGCCGAGAAGAAGAUCCACCGCAUAGCAAGCGGCACCUGGUGGGAUCACUGCGCGAAUUCUAUGACUCGGUGGUGGUGGACCGUGCGACUAUGGCAUGUGUCUUGGUUGCUUCCAGCUGAUCUUCACGGCACAGAAAUAAGAUUCUUGUGAAGAUGAAACCAAAAAAUGUGUAUAGAAGAAGGAACUUCGAGCCUAUGAAAUGGUACUGUCUUCAGGUAUCUAGAUCACGCAAAGUUGCGGAGAGAGAUUGAUGUCUUGUGAAGAAACUGUGUAGACUUUAGAGGAAGGAUCGUUCGCGUUGUUAAAACACGAGCUAAGAUACGAUGUCAAGGGUUCCACUGGUGGCCACACGGGCAUGUUUUCCAGCAAAUCAGAUGCUCUUGACAACCUUCCAGAUCGACCAAGCGCGUCAACAAUGCAACCAUAGUGCUCCAUCGCCGGUACCAGAUUGUAAUCCAGCACCAUCGAAACGAAGGAGUUUCUAGCUUCCUCGACUCGCCCAGUGUGGCUGUAGGCGCUCAAGACAGUGACGAAGGUGAUACCAUCUGGAUCGAAUCCCAGCUGUUGCAUCGCCCAGAAGUUCUCGACGGCAUCCCGAUGGUAUCCUCCCCGGCCAUAGGCAGCAAGCAGUGAGUUCCAGGAAACGAUCUCCUUGAAAGGGAUUCGAUCGAAGAGCUUUUUUGCCUCUGAGAUAUGCCCAACUCGGGCAUACGCUUCGACCAUCGCGAUCCAUGAUGUCAAGUCUGGCUCGUGGAGGUGGUCAAACAGGAAUCUUGCCUCUUUGAUCUCUCCGGCCGAGGCGUGGGAUUCGAGCAUCGCGGUCCAGGAGAUUACACUCCACUGCGGCAUUCGCUCAAACACCCUGCGUGCUUGAUCUACAAGUUUCUCGCGAGCAAACGCAGACAUCAUAGCGUUGCAAGAGAUCACAUCCACCCUGGGGGAGUAAUCAAAGAAAUAUAUCGCUUCUUGGAGGUUUCCAAUCUGUGCGUAGCGGACUAGCAUCAAACACCACGUCUCGACUCCGUGGCAUGGCAUUUUCUCAAACAAUUCUCGCGCCAUUAGCAAAUGCCCGUCUUGGGCAUUUGCUGCAACCAUUGCAUGCCAUAUUACCAUGUCCCGUUGUGGCGUUUCUUUGAAAAACAAUCUUGCUUUUUCUAGCAGCCCGUUUUCCGCCAAAGCUGCAACCAUGGCAGUCCACGAGAAAACGUUUCGCAUUGGCAUCAUGUCAAAUAGUUGCUCUAAUGCACCAAGAUGCCCUUUCCGGGCAUAUACUUGCAAAAGUGCUGUCCAAGAAACCACAUCCCUCUCGAGCAUGGAAUCAAAGAUUCGUUUUGCUGACGGAACGUUACCGACCUGGGCAUAUGCCGUCAUUAUUGACGAGCAAGGCGCAAUGCUCCAGCUUGGCAUUCUCGCAAAAACACCCUCUGCCAUUGCCGUUUGCCCGUCAUAGGCAUAUGCCGUGAGCAACGCCGUCCAUGCCACAACGUUUCUUUGUUGCAUAUUCGCGAAUAAGGCCCUCGCUUCGGACAAAUGCGCAGUCUUGGCAAAUGCUGUCACAAGUACCGUACACGUGGCGGCAUCUCGUUGAGGCAUUUUCUGGAACGCUCUGGAUGCCUCGAAUAUUUGCCCAUGCUUGGAAUGAGCUUGUAUCAACGCCGUCCAGGACACGACGACGCGGACGGUCAUCCAGUGGAACACGUGUCGCGCUUCCUGUAUAUGCCCAGUUUGGGCAUAUGCUGUGAUAAGGAUAUUCCAGGAGUAGACAUUGGGGUGGUGGAGGGAAUCAAAGGCGCCCUUGGCAUCUUCUAUGCUGCCACAUUUGCCGUACAUGUCUACGAUCCAAUUCCCUAAUAGCCUGCUCUUGGCGAGGAGCGCUGGGAUGAUUUGCCGGAGGCGCGAAUGCAGCUCCCUGGCCUGGCGAAGAUCCUUGCUCCUGGCGACUGAUCGGAUGAGAUCGCAAGCAGCGAUGGAAUCCAGCCUCGAAAAGCUUGAUCGUUAUCGAGUGUUUCUUCCCAAAAAAUUUCUUGCAAGGAAUAUUUUCAAUGGUCACACUUGGCAGUGGCGGCAAGAGCCCUAGGCGGCGCCCGGGAUGGGUGUGCUGCGCCGCCUCAUGCAUCUCGCCGCGCAGAGGCUCCAUCGGCCGGGCAGGAGGAAGCUGGCGCCACUGCCGUCGCAGAUUUCGCCUCCAGUUCCAGGUAUGGCCGAUCCUUCUCCACAGCGCCAGCAUCAGCCAAGAAAUCCAAAGAAUGUAGCAGCAGCAGCGCCAGAGGAAGAAGAAGAGGAAGAUUAUGUCUCAUUUGAGGUGGAUUGGUCAGUCUUCUCCAUGGUGCACAUCCAGACGACGAUCCAAGAGAUGCUCUUCACGCUGGCGGGGCUGGCCUUGCCCGAGGAGCAGCAGCACAAGCAAGCAUUCAGAAUCGAGAAUGGGAAUUGGCGGACCAAUCUCGACGUCAAGGAGCUCUAUCUCCGCCGGGAGCUUCGUGACGGCGUGGAGACUGGAUUUCUAGUGCGUGGGGUGAUCUACGACAUGGCGGCUUUGGCCAUUCCUCCUCAAGAACGAGGGAAAAGAAUCAAGGAGAUGGCGUCCUCUGGAUCCAGGGACUGGAGCAAUCUCGUUCACGAGAACGUGAACGAGACUGUUGGAAAGGUGGAAGAUGUGUCGGCCGAGCAAGUCAUGGAGAAGCUGGGACUGAAAUAUGUUGGCGCACUCCAGGAGAAGAUUGGGAGUGGCAGUGUCUCCUCGGCGGCGGCUUUGAGGAAGAAGAAGCUGCAAGAGAAGCAGGGCCUGGAAGAGAUCCUGGGGAGAGGAGACAGCAUACGAGCAAAGUAUGCCGAGAGGCUUAGACACAAGCAAGCAUUAGCGGAUGCAAGACAAGAGCAAGCCAAGCUCGGGGUGGUGAUCACAACUUCUCCUGGAGAAAAAGAUAGCUCUGUGCUACCGGGUUGCCCCGCUCUUAUUCGAUACCUGGAGGUUCGUUUUUAUCUUUCGGUUCUCUCUUCUAUAAUCUUUUGUUCUCUAUGCUUCCAACUCUUUCCUUUUCCAGGAGCGUGGUGUUUCGCAAGCUCUUUUGGCUCGUGGCCCAGACGCUGAGCUUAGAAACUUAAUGAACCAGUUGGGAGGCUUCCAGUUUGCGGAAGUGAGGAGAUUGCAAGAAGAAGUCGUCAGGUACUUUUCAUUUUUCAUGAAUCACAGUUCCAACCAAUGUGACUGUCCAAGCAGCGAAGGAAUGCUGGACUCGAUAUGUACAAAAUGGAGGCUACCAGCCAAGCGAGUCUUGCUGGUAAGUUUUCGUUUUUGCUCUACGCUAUUGGGAUCUAAUUCGGCAAACCAGGUUGUUGGAGCCAAUGGUAGUGAAAGCGAGGAGCUGCUCAAGGUUGCAGCUGACAAAGGCUACUUCGUUUGCCGUGUCCAGAGCACUUCAAACAGCCAAGGCGAGUCGAAAGACUCAAAACCGGAGUCACAGAAACGUUGGGGCCUAACUUCGUGGUUCAACCAUCUUGCCGAGGGGACUCUCCACAUCGAAGAGCAGCGGAAUCACGAGAAAGACAUCGUCCAUUUCCGGGUGAUGGACAUGACUGAGCUCAAGUGGGUGAUUGAGGACCUCAAUGGAGUCUCGUACAGGACAAGCACCAUGGUCCGAGGAUUCAAGUGACAAUGCUCUGGAAUUCAUGGAUUCUUUAACAACUUCAUUUGGAUUCUAAAAAUAUCCUUAUGCCAUAAAGACUCCAGCAUUCUUCUAUUGAUUGGUGCAAUGUGAUCUAAUAUUAUUCCACAUUUUUGUAUGAAAAGAAUUUUUCAUAGUACUUGAUGUGUUUAAUAAAGUAAUAUAUUUAUUUUUUUCUUAAAGGAAAAAAGGACACUAAAAAUGAUAUAUGGCAAAUAUUUAAUUCUCAUUUUGUGAGUGUAUAAAAUAUAGAAAUGAAAUAAAAAAUGUGCAACCCAAAUACCCUAAUUUUUAUAUAAAAGCGAAUGGUCUAAAUUGAAAUUAAUCCAAUAGCUAUCAAAACCCCUAGUGCACAGUUGUUAAUAUUAGUAUAUAGCAUUGUAAUUGUAUAUUUAAAUUUCCUAUCAUCCUCUUCUUUCGAAAAGAAGAAUGGAAGGUAGUUAAAGUUUUUUAGUUGAUGGGUUAAGAUCUAAAAGAACAUAAAAAAAA